UAUAAUUAAAAGAAACACAGAGAAAGCAGCAAGCUCCUUGGCUGUACUCCAGCUUCUAAGAUGCUUUAGCCAUCAAUAAAUCAGCACUAAACUAAAGUGCUUUUUGUUUAUAGUACUGUGUACAUUGGGGGAAAGCAAUGACACUGCAGCUUAGUGGUAACCUUUUUUAUUUUGUUUCUAUUUGAGGUUCAUGUGCUUGGUUCAAAGGACAACAUUGAAUUGAAAGUUCAUGUUUUUAUUCUUUACCUGCUCAUCAUGAUGCUGAGCCUCAUACCCUUUUACACUAUGGAGAUGUAGUCAUGCAUGAUGCUCAUGAUGGUCAUGUGGGUGAUAUACCCUUUAGACUAUUGAAUUAAGACUUUGGCUGAGGUUUUAUGGGGAUGAUGCAGUGUCAUGCAUGCCAUCACACACCACCCAUCAAUGCUGUUGUCUCUUGGCAUGAUGACAGUAAUUCAAGUUUGUCCUUGCACCCUGUUUUGGCUUUGAAUCUAUCUGGGCUUUUUACCUUUUGUGAAUUCUAGAUUCAAUAACAAUUAUUAUUAAAAUAUCUCCAACAGUGCCCCCACACAAACUAUUCUUUAUUUUUUUUUCACAACUUACAUUGCAAGGUUAAUAGGUUUAUAGUUACACCAUCUUGUGAGCUUGGGUAAAAGUAAAAAAAAAUUAACUAUAUAUAUAUAUAGACAUACACAUCAAUUCUGUUAAAGAUUAAAAGGGAAAAAGCAAUUGAUACCAAUCUAGUCAAAGAAGGAAGGAGGAAUAUGAAGCAGAAAUUGGGGUUGCAAUUCCAUCUCCUUUUAUGCAAAUUAUUCUUCUAACUCAGCAUAAAUAACUCAUGAAACUGUGAGAGAAGGGGUUAUAUUAUUUCAGGACCAUGGAAUUUGAUUCUAUGAUGUUCACAAGAGUGUGAAGGAAAUGAAAAAAAAUAAAAUAAGAGACGUGUUGGAUUUAAACUGUAUUUUUUCUUUACAAUAAUUGGAGGUGCUUGUGUCUACUGAUAAAUGAUAAAGAGAAUGAUAAAAUUUGAUCUUUUAUGGCCUUCUUCAUUCAUCAUCAUCAUCAUCAUCAUCAUCAUCUUUUUUUCAAAGUACUUUGUGAACUCCCUUUCUUCUCCAAGGACUUAACCCCCAAAGGGGACAACAAGUCAAGAAGAACCCUAAAAAAAUCCUCUUUUUGAAGGACCAUGAUGGUCCCUAUCAUUGUGAAUGGAUAGUCACUCACACAUAAUCAAAAAUAGCCAUAAGAUCCCUUAGGUUGAUCUCUUGGGACCAAAGAAACUAGAAUCUUGGUGAGUAGUAAUUACUACCAAUGUAUUAUUAAUUAAUAAGAGUUAUGAAUAAGAUGGGUGAAGCAAAAGUGACAAAACCAUGGCCUCUGAUUGCAUCAUAAUAAUUGAGAAAAAAAGAACCGAACCACACCAGUAGUAGAAGAGGAACAACCAUUGAACCCAACCACACAACCUUGUCGCUCUCACCACUCAACACAGAUGCUCUGUCCCAACACGUGUCACUCACACAACGCGAGUACCCUCCACCUCCACCCCAACAACUGCAAUGGCAGAUCUAUUCCCACAUCAAACUAAUCUAACUUUCUUCUCUGUCGAUCAAAAUCUUAAAAACUCAUUCUUUUUCAUCAACCAUGUUAAACCUUGUUAACAAGAUAUACAUAUAUGGAAACACUCAUUUUACUUCUAUUCAUGCAAUCAAAAAUCAAAUGUCCAACAAACAUUUAAGAAAAGAAAGUAAGAUUCUUUCUGUUAGUCCCAAAACCAACCUCAAUUUCUGCAAAGUUAAACUCAGAUGAGAGAAAAAUUAGUCCCAUUUUUCCAUGUUUGCAAUUGAAAAAAGGAAAUGUAAACACUCAUUUCACUUGAGAAUUGAAACACAGAAUAGAGAAGGAGGAGAGGAAGUUGGUGAAUUGAGAGAGAUUUCAUUCAACAUAGAUGGGAGGACUAAAAAUUAUACAAUUAGUUUUUUUUUUCUUUUUUUGAGGUAAGUAAUUUUUAUAUAUUUAUAUAUUUAUAUAUAUGUGGUGGUGAUUAUGAAAAAUAUAUUAUUGGUGGUGGUGGUGGGUGGUGGUGGUCAUACCCAGAGGGCGCCGACCUGGAUGAGUUUGGGGACGAGGUGGCCGCUGACGUGGAGGGCGACGAGGGACUCCAGGCCGCCGACAGAGGCGCCGCCGAUGAAGACUGCCGGAGUGCGGGUGGCGUCAGGGAGGGCCGUUAUCUCGUGGUCGUCCAAUUCGAUGACGGUGGGGUUGACUCCGAUGGUGGCGAGGAGCUUCUUCAUGACGUGGCACAUGCAGCAGGAGGAGCGCGUGAAGAUGAUCACCGGAUGCUCCGAUAUCAGCCGCUGGAUACGCGCCUCCGUGGAUUCCUCCACAUCGAUGGAGAGCGACGACGAGGAGGAGGUGGUGGAGGAGUUGGUGGUGGCCGGCGUGGGAGUGGUGAGGUCGAGGUGGACGACGUCGUUUGAGCAGCGGCGUAGGCCUUGCAUCGUGUGAAAGGAGAAGUGUGAGUGAAUGAACUGAAAUGAAAAGUUGAAGUGGUGGAGUUUUCAUUUAUAAUAAUAAUAAUAAUAAAAAUAAAAAUUAAUUAAUUGAUUAAAAGAAAUAAAUAAAAAAGUUGCUUUGUGGUUGCUUACAUCACUAUCUAUUUUUAUUUUCUCUUUCUUUUUUGGCUUCAUCAACCCUACUUCUCUUCCUUUGCAUGCACUCUCCCAUGGCUUCUCAUCUUCAUCUCUCUUCCUCUCAUUUGUUAGAUAAUUUUUUUUCUUCAAAUUAAACCCAUCUUUGAUAUAUUUAUUUUAACCUAUUUGAAUUUAUACAUUUUUAGUAAAAUUAUUACAUUGUAUGUAAGACUUGUUAAAUAGAAUGAGAUUUUUAUAAAUUUGUAUAAAUUUCAAUAAAUAAUAAAAUUAUAUUACUAUUGUUUUUAUUUUCUCUGUCAAUUGAGAGAUUUCAUGAAUUUAUCCGAACACAUAAUCUGAGACUUUGUCCUUUUCUCCUCUUUUGACUUUUUUUCAUGUAUUUUUUUGGUGCAAUACCAAUUUCCAAAAAAUUAGCAGUGUUUUUGUUUUCUUUGAAACCCCACUUGUUGCACUUUCUUAAAAAAUACCUAACUUAUGGAGAUGAAAGGGGAGGAUUAAUUUAAGCAAGGUUUUAAAUUUGAAUUUUAGAAGUAAAAAAAAUAGUUAGAAGCGAAGAUAUUCAUAGUAGAAAUUGGUUAUUGAUAAGAAUGGUAAAUUUAAAAAUAUUGAGACAAGUUGACCUAGUUGUUGGUAAAUUGAAAGUCUUGGUCUAUAUCUUGUUUAGGGUGAUUUAACAAACAGAAACUCAAAGAAUAAAAAAACUGCAAUCUUACUAAUUCACAAUGCAAUUCAAUUUGAAAGUUUAAUUAAAGACUCUAAAUUAAAAGUGUGUAUUUUGAAAAAUUGAUAAAAAGAUAAAGAAAUAAUAAAUAAGUGUGUAUUUAAACAACACUAAAUCUUAAAAAAAUUGGUGACAACAAUAUUAACUAUAUAAUUUUAUUUAAUAUUAAAGAAAUUUCUUUUAGAGAUUCUGAAUUAUAAAAGUAAUAGCAUAUGUUUCUAGAGAGAUUAAUAUUUUUGGUCCAUGAUAGUUUAUCAAUUCAAGAGUUGGACAAGACAAACCUAAAUAAGUUAUUUUGUUUAGUUAUUUUUUGGGGAUUAAGUGAGUUAAUAUAGUGAAUCUAAUAGACAUUGUCACUCUUAAUCAUUGAUAAAUACAUUCUAUUCUUUCCUUCAACUGCUUAAUUAUAUUGACCAUUAUAAAUUAUUUAAACAAUUUAAUAACAUUUAAACUAAACAAAUCACAACUUCUCUCGAUACAUUAAAAAAACAUUUAAAUUAAUUUUCAUUAACCUACUUACAUAGUAGUCAAAUAAUCUAAGUGCUUACACUUUAUUUCGUUUAAACAAUGAAUUAAAAUUGAAUAUUUGAUACACAUAUAUGAAAAGUAAGAAAAAUAAUUUUAAAAUAAUGAUGAGACUCCUAAUAUUAUUUUUCAUUUAUUUAUUAUAUUCAUAGUUAUGUUUUUAUCCCUAUUUAUUUUUCAUUUCCCUUCAUAUAAUUCUCACACUAUUUUAAUUUUAGUUUUAUUCUCCCAACUUAUUUGCAUCCCACAUGUGUAGUAAAAAGAAAAAUUAUUAACUUCCCUUUAAAUUAAUUAAAUUUUAAAAAAUGAAAUACCAAGCAAAUAGUAUGAAUGCUACAUCGACAAGUAACUGCAGAAGAAUAAAAAAAACAUUGGAAUCAUGAUCUUUGGCUUAUUUUAUGUAUUCACAUUCAUAUUCAUAUACUAUAAAAGUAUAUAUAAAUUAAAAAAAAUUAUAAUUGACCACAAGUACAUACAUUUAUAUUAUAUAUUAUAUAUACACAGACAUAAAGCAUAAGUUUUCUAAGAAGAGAGAGAGGUACACGCGCUGGGAGGCGCGUGGGCGUGGAAGAAAGAAGGGGUUGGGGAAUAGGGGAAAUUUGGCGGUGAAAUCGCGUGGAAGGGUCACAUGGGUGAAAAGGAGGGUGACGUCAUGUUGACUUGGACGUGGAACCGUAAGAUUGAACGAUGACGUAACCAAAAGUCAUGUGUAGUUAAAAAAUAAUACCUGCAAGAAAAGUGAGGGAGAUAAGUGCUUUUAUAAUUAAUCUUUUUAACUCAAAAUCACUUUUUUCAAAACGCUGAAUUUUAGCUGUUUAAUUAAGUAAUUAUAAAUAGUUAUUUUUUUAUUAGUAAUGUUAUUAUAUGUGGACGAUUUUAAUUUUUCAGCUUAUAUAUUAUUAUGAAGACGAUCUGAUGACGUGGACGAGAGAGGAAGGGUAGGGCCCACAUCGAUGACGUAAUCAUGGAGAGAGUUAGAGCUUUGGUCGUCAUGGUGACGUUCCAGGAGUGCCACGUGGCGUACCUUUUAGUUUCUCUGGGGCAGGAGUGUUGGUGUGGGGCAGCAUGCAGGGUAGUGGAGCCAAUGAGAGGCUGGCACGUGGCGUGGGGUUUUAAUUUGGGUGGUGGUGAGGAUGAGGUUAUGGGGUGUGGUCCCCAGUGAGCAUGAUGUGAUGAAUGUUAGGAAGAGAGUGAUGGGAGAAGGUGGACCGUUGAUGGUGCUAAAUAAGUAAAUGUGGUGUCUGCCAUAUGCUUUCUCAUGACCAUGCCUUGCGUCACUCUUUCCAUGGGACCCUCUUACUCUUUUCCCCCACACUUUUUACAUAUAUAUAUAUAUUUAUAAAAAAACCUUUAUUAUCUUCACCUUUUUCUCUAAAAAUAAAUUAUUCUGUCAAAUUGUCUCUAAUACUUAGAACUAUUGAAAAAUUUCGUCUUCUUUCGUUUUUCGAAUAGGUUGCUAGAGUUACGUAGUGACUCUUCUCGUCUUUAUGCUACUUCUCUAGGCCUCGGUCUAUCAGUCUCAGGUGGAUGUCAAAUGAGGGUACCUGUAGAAGACACUUCGACGCUCAAGUCAGCAAAAAGGGUAUUCGACACUCGGGGUAUACAGUGAUAAUGACAUACCAUUCUUCUUGGAAUGUGCACUAUUUAUAUGAUUUUAAUGAGCCUACCUUAUUGGGCUGAAUUAGUGUAGUGGAUCAUGCUUAUAAGCGUAUUACCUAAUUCUUAAUGACGAUCUAGUUUUACUGACCUUGGUUUGAGCGUUAAUGGAUUAAGUGUGUCGGUCAACCUACACGUCCGUGCAGGUCUCGACCAGCUCGAUCAGGAAGACCGAGUCGUGAUAAUAAUCGGUUGGUACAUACCAAUACACAAAUAAUUCUUUUUCUUUUAAUAUUAUGUAGUAUUUAUUAUCUGUUUCUAAUGUUUUGAGCACUAAAAAAAAAGAAUUUUAUAAAAGAAUUGUGAGGUUUGUUUUGCUGGUAUCAAUUGUUUGAUUCAAGAAAUAGGAAUGAAUAUAUAGAAUUAAGUUGGGAUGUGAAUGAGAUGGAAGAUGAUUGAGAGUAGAAGGGAAUCACGUAAUAUACUCUCCCACGUGUGGUGUAGUGCUAUUAUAUCAACAUGCAUUUUCUUAAUCCAUAGACAAUAUGGUUGAAUAAUUGAGUUUUGCAUGCGUGGAAACUUUAGGGUUAAAAUCUUGUGCUUCUUAUUUGAAUCAUAGUAAUGGUAGUGGAGAUGUGGUCAAUAAACAAAACGGAAUAUGCUACGAAUUACCUUAGAUCACAAGCAACAUGGACGUGCUUUUCUUUUCUUUCACACUAACUUCUUAUUUAUAUAUAUGCUCUUCAUUCAUCAACUACUUAGACUUCUCUUAUUAUAUUGAGUUGGUAGGUUUUCUAGUAAAGUAAUAAUAACUUGGAGGCAUUUUAAAGAUGUCCAAUAGAUUUCUCUUCAUUCUAUUAUAAUCUAACUAUAACAUUAUAUAUUUCUUUAACCUAUAAUUUCAUUUAUUUUUGUAUUAGGUACAUGCAAUAGUUACCAUAUAAAUGUGAAAUCACAAGAGUUAAGUUAAAUUCAACAAACUAUAAUCAAAUAUAAUAUAUUUUACAAAUAAAUUGAUUAUAAAUUUUGCCUCCAUAUUACUUAUAUGACAAGAAUUUAUAAAAACAUCAUUAAAACACUCACAUGAUCUUCACAAAAGUUUAAGGAACCUCGUGUACUUAAUUUGUAGAAAGAUUUAAUAUCCACACAUAUAUAAGUAAAAUCGAAAAGAUAAUGAUUCGAAUGAAAGAAAUUUAUCAUCUACAAGAAUUAUAUAGUCAUUCUUUCAAUAUAGAUAAACAGGAUAGAUGGGAUUGGAAUAAGGAUGAUUCUCAAACUUACAUGGUGAAAUCAAUGAACAAGAAAUUAAAAAAACACAAUAAUAGAGGAAGAGAAGUUGUAUGAUAUGUUUUGAAAAACUAAAGCCCCGCCAUCAAUCCUAUACUUCACUUAGGAGUGAUUAAAAAUAAAGUAGCAACACAUGAUAAAUUAAUCAAAAGAGGGAUAGAUGUAGGUACCUGUAUUAUUCAGGUUUUAUCGGCUAAAUGAUUGAUAUGAUACUGAUCAGGUAUAGACCCAACUUAAGAUAAUCGGGUAAAGAAUUAACGUGAUUUUAGUUUGGUAUUAUUCUGAUAAGAAAGUGAGUUUUUUAUCCCUUGUUUAUUUUCUAAAAUUAUGUCAAUAUAUCAAGGAUUCUUGAUUCAUUUGUUAAAAGAAAUAUGAAUUGGUGUAAUGUCUGGAUUUUAUCGGCUAAAUGAUCGAUAUGAUUCUGAUUGGGUAUAGACCCGACUUAAGAUAAUCGGGUACAAAAUUGAUGUGAUUUUAGCUCGGUAUUAUUACGAUAAAGGAGUGACAUUUUUACUCCUUGUCCUACAAUUAUGCCAAUAUAUCGGGAUUCAUGAUAAAUUUGUUACAAAAAAUAUUAAUUGGUGAAUAUACUUUUAUGGUUUUUUAUUCUCGAUGAAUUCGUAAUUUGAUGCAUUUUAUUUAUUAUUCAAAUUCGUUGUUAUCUUAUUCUGAUAAAAAGGAAGAGAUGAAUCAGAAAAAACUCUAUAAAAAGAGAAUGACAUUCGAAGGGAAAAAUAAGUAUUAGUCAAUCAAUACAUACUACACUAACCAAUUUUAUGUUUUCACUGACUUGAUAGUCAGAGUAUUGUCAACAGGUGGAAUCCCAUCAUCUCACUGUAACCUCCACACAUUCAAAAUCUCUAGUUACAAAGGGAUCAUCUUGGAGACCACCUCUAAACUCUCGACCUUCAACUCGACGACCGUGGGACAGGAACAACUAAUCCUGCAAACCACCAGAACACUCAGAACAAAAAACCAAUAUAUCGUGGACUCUAUUAAUUUGUUACAAGAAAUAUUCUUUGGUGUACUCUUUGGGUUUUAUCGGCUAAAUGAAUGAUAUAAUUCUGAUUGGGUAUACACCCAACUUAAGAUAAUCAGGUCAAGAAUUAACAUGAUUUUAGCUCGGUAUUAUUUCAAUAAGGGAGUGAGUUUUUUUACUCCUUGUUCAUUUCCUAGAAUUAUGCCAAUAUAUUGGGGAUUCUAGAUUCAUUUGUUACAAAUAUUAAAUUGUGCAUUGUUUGGGUUUUAUCGACUAAAUGACCGAUAUGAUUUUGAUCGGGUAUAGACACGACUUAAGAUAACUGGGUAAAGAAUUAACAUAAUUUUAACUCGGUAUUAUUAUGAUAAAGGAGCAAGUUUUUUACUCCGAUUUUAUUUUCUAGAAUUAUGCCAAUAUAUCAGGGAAUCUUGAUUCAUUUGUUACAAAAAAUAUUAAUUGGCGAACUGUCUGGGUUUUAUCGGGUAAAUUAACAUGAUUUCAGCUCGGCGAGAAUAAUACCAAUUUAUGUUUUCUAGGUGGGAAUCAAGCGAAAAAUGUUAGUCAUGUUUUUCUCAUAUGCAAAGUAACUGGCCAAAUAUGAAUGAUGUGUGACAAAUGGACUGGGAUUAGUUUUUUCCAUCAUCCAAAUGAAAAGGAACAUUUUCUUCAUUUUCAUAUUAGUGGACUAAAUAACAAAAUGGAGAUGCAUGUGAGUGGUAAUCAUUUUGAAUAUAGAGCUCCAAAGAGAUAAUAUAAUUUUCAAAAAUGCAAAACUAAAUGGGGUGGAAAUCUUUACAUAAACAUAUAUUAAAGCAUGAGAUUGGAUUACAAACAAGGAUCUUAUCUUUAAAGGUUCAUAUUCUGACUGGUGUCUGAAUCGGUUAACAUGUUUAACGUUUGUGAAAACUAAACAUGAUCAUAAAUCACGUGUAAGAUGUUAGAGAGGUGAUCAUUCUUUAGACACAAACUUUGAAUGUUAAUAUGUUCUUAACAUGUGAUAUUUGAAAUCUAAAAUGCUCAAGAUUUGUGUUAAGAUAUGUGUAUCUGUCUAUUAUUCUUAUAUGUUGUUCAAUAUGCACCUUGGGUUGAAUAUGGUGUUGGGUUAAAUCUAAGUAAGGACUUUUUAUAUUAGGAUCUAUAUGCCACUUAAGAUGGCCAAACAUAUUUAAGCCUUAAUUUUUUAAUAUAAUUAUUGUCCUACAAUAUAUUUGGGUAGAAAAAUAGGAACUUGGGUUUAGCCGAUAUUAUGUUUAAUGUUAUGUGAGCAUCAUUUUAAUCAUCGCUAUGUUAAGUGAUAUAAAAGUAAAAUUAAUUUAAAGUAAUAAAAGAUGUGAAACUCCAAACCAUAAUCACAAUCUCUUUAGCUUCCUACCCACAACCUCGUAUCCAAUAAUGAUUGUAAAAUUCAAUAAGGACUCGAUUUCAAAGAUUGGAAUCUUUUAGAAUUUCUCAAAUUACUCUCAAAUGCAAACAAUAAAUAGUUUGUAAUAUUUUCAUUAAGAAUUUAUGAUCAUCUCAUUACACAUAGGACACCAAUGAAACAGUGAGAUUAGAAGAGAUCAAUGUAAGAUUUUCUAAAGUAGGAAAAGAGGAAACCAAAAAUUUAGUUUGAGUGUAAAAAUGAAAUUUUCAAUUAAUUUCACUUUUAUAUCACCCUAUUGUCAGUCAAGAUUACGCUCACAUCACGUUAAACAUAACGUCGACUAAACCAACACAAACUUUAAUAAAACACUAUUUUUUUUAUAUCAACUCAGGCCACACACCCAUUCACUAUAUUUUAUUUUUAUAAUUUUUUAUAUUUUAUUUUGUGUUGUCCAAACUAACGUUCUACUAUUUUUUUUUUAAAAAAAUUAGUGUCCAAUUUAAGUGUCAGUCUCUUUCGCACAAAAUAUAUUUUAAUAAUUUAAAAAAAAAGUGUUAGCGUCAAUGUACUUUUUUCUUACUCUAUUUUAAUUUUUAUAUUUAUGAUAACGUAGAGUGGUUUGAUAAAUUCUAAUAGUUCUUCGAUUUAACUGAUUUUUUUUUAUAGCUAAUUUGUUACGUUCUUGUUGUAGAGAGUGAGGAAACUUAAAAAGAAAAUGCAUUUGAAAGUGAAUUUAGAGAAGUGAAUUUGUGAAGUAAAGGGCAAUGGGGAGGAAGUGAGUAGUGAGUGGUUAAAGAGAAAAAAAAGAAAAAAGAAAUGUUGAAUGUGAUGAUUGCAUCUAAAUUAAAAAAGUAGUGAGCAAUUGAGUUAGAAGAAGUGGAGGAAGUUGUUUAUAGGAAAAGGGUUAACGUUGAUUGGAGAAGAGGAUUCUGAAAUGAAUGGGAAUAAGUGACGUUGUGUGAUGAGGGAUUCAAUAAUGCAACAUGGAUAUUAAUAGAAUAAGAGUGGACCAAAAAGUUUCUAAGUUUUUGUCACUAAAUUUUCCAUGGCCUUUGGCUGUGGAAGUGUGGAAGCACCACUCACGGAGUCACCCCUCAUCACCAUGCACACACUAUUAUUACGUGUUAUUUUAUUCUCAUCUUUGUUCUAGUUCACACACACCACCCACUUCUUCUGCUUUUUUAAACAAGUUUAGACCCACGUGAACCUUAAUUUAAGAUUCCAUAUGUGUUCAAACUUGGGUUGGGAAAUUGAUCAUGCUCAUUUUCUUUACUAGGUCAUCAUGUAGGUCUCAUAUUUUCUUGCCUCUAAUGUUGUAUAUGAGAAUUGAUUCAUUCAUGCAUCUUAAUUAGAAGUGGGAGAAGGAUUUGAUAAUGGUGAAGUAUGAGGAAAGUGAAGAGAAGGUGAUGUCACAUAUAUGAUUGGGAGGGUUGUUUAUGAAUGAUGCAUGUUGGGUGGUUUGGACUAGGAUUCAUUUGUUUGUGUUUUGUGUUUGUGAGGUGGUUGACUAAGGUUGAUAGGGAGUGAGACAUGGGUGACACAAUGUCAAGUGACCAUGUGGUGCCAUUGGUGGGGACACUAUGACUUCAUCUCUCAAUCUCUACCACUCUUCUACCUAAGGAAAACAUGUAGGAAAACCUAGGUUGUGUUUUUUUCUACUUAUUUACUAUCAACAUUGCCUAGAAUAAAAUUAAAUAGAAAUUAAUAAGUUUUCACUCACUUAUAUAUCAUGAAAUGUUUUAAUCUUUAGUUAAUGUAGGAUUUUCAACACAUCACCCUCAUGUCGAGACUACCAACUCGUAUGUGUUGGAAAUCUCACAUCGACUAGAGAUUAGAGCAUUUCAUUGUAUAUAAGUGGGUGCAAAUCUCAACCUCAUGAGUCGGUUUUAUGGGAUUGAGUUAGGCUUAAAGUCCACUUCGUAAUAUGGUAUAAGAGCCAGGUUGAGUCUAUCCUAGCGAGUGUUUGUGUUGGGCCUAUCAUGGCCGCUAUCGGGCCGCUAUCGGACCACCCAUAAUAUAUAAUCCCACACACGAGUUGGCAGUCUCGGCGUGAGGGAGGUGUGUUGGAAAUCCUACAUCGACUAGAGAUUAGAGUCUUUCAUUGUAUAUAAAUGGAUGCAAACCUCAACCUCAUGAGCAGGUUUUAUGGGAUUGAGUUAGGCUUAAAGUCCACUUCGUAAUAGUAUGUAUAACUAUAUAUUUAUGGGUGGUUUGAUAAUAGCCCAAUAGCAAGUGACACAAUAAGUCGAAUGUAAUUCAUUUAUAUACUAUAAAAUGCUCUAAUCUCUAUUCGAUGGGAGAUGUCCAAUGUAUUGUUGAAAGUGAAUGAUGAAUUAUUUCUCCAAUUUUUUUUAAUUGUAGAAGUAUACCAUAUAUGUAUCAUUGCACCGAAAAUUUUGUUAAGCAUGAAAGCCACUUCACAAAUUAAUGAUAUCUUGACACAAUCCAUCCACUUUACCAUUCAAUAAAUUAAUAUUUUAAUUAUAUUUAAUUUAUUUUUAAAUAUAAAAUAUUAUUAUAAAUGGAAGUGUUUCACUGUUUGAGAGUGUCCAAGAUUUUUUUUUUCCAACCCAAAAACUUUAGUGAUAAUGGACCAUGGAAGUCCAAAUAAUUGAUUAUGCCUUAAUAUUAAAAAGUGAUAAAGAAAAGUGUGUGGCUUCAAUCAUUCUUCAUGUUAUCACUCUCCAUUUCAUAUAAAACUUUCCAUAUAAAGGAAUUCAAUUUUUUUUGUUGAUAUAUUUUUAAUUCAAUUUAUACUCUACCUUCUAAAAUAAUUACACAAUUGUUUUUAUAAAUUGGUAUGUUAAAAAAAUAAAUUGUGCAAGGUAAGUAUUUAAUUAUUUAAUAAAAUAUAAUUUAACUUUAAAAUAUAUUUUUAUUAGUAAUUAGUUUAUUAAAUUGAGUUUAGGAUAUCGUACUUGGUUUAAAAUGUUAAUAGAGUUAGUUAUAUUUUUUAAUAUUACAAUUUAGACUUGAAUUUUUUUAAUAUUAUUAAAUUUUUUAAAAUAUAUUUAAAUAUAUUGAUUAGAGUUUAAGAUUUUCAUUAAUACAGUUUCUUAUUUUGAAUAAAAUAAUAUACAAAUAAUAUAACAAUGGUAAACAUGAGGAUAGUUUAUUGUAUAAUAGGAAAAGUUCUAUCUAUUAAUUAUUUUUAAGUAUGACCUAAUUAUUUUUAUUAAUUAGAAAUGACAGUUUUUUUUUUUUUACUUUUAUAAUUGUUUAUGAAGAGACAAAUAAUUCAAAUAUAGAGAGAGAAGUGCCCACAAUUUUUUGUCAUAAUUGGUAAUUGGAUUUUAUUUAUUAAGGGUUAUGUACUUAGAAGGCUAAUUAGAUUUUAUACAAAAAGGAAGGGAAAAAAAGUUAGUUUUCGUUGGUUCUCUAAUGGUGCAUGUGGUAAAUGUAUGAAGGCAAAGUUAUUGGAAAACACUUGUCGAUUACCUGUUCUGUAAAAACCUCAUUGUUUUCUUCUUUUGUUAGAUUUUGGAAAGUUUGUGUUUUAAGUAUUAUAUUGUACAAAUUUUUGUUAGAUUUUUUCAUUAAAGAUUUUUAAUUUUAGAUUUAAUAUAUUUUUUUAUCUAAUACUUUUUCAAUUAUAAAAAUAUUUCUGUGGUAUUAAAUUUUAUAUAAAAAGUAGAGUAGGUUUUACCAAUAUUAUUUGUAUUAAAGUUUGAAUUGUCCGUAGAACAAUUUGAGAAGAAUAAUUAUUUUUUAUUAGUUCAUUUGUACAUAAUUUAUAAUUUACUUUUCAUAUAUUUUACUUAAUUUUGGUUUAUUGUAUUUUGUGUCAGUUUUCGAAUACAUAUUUGAUUGUGAAAAUUUGUGUUAUCACUUUUUCCUUUUGUGCCACCUUAUCAAUAUAAAAUAUUUUUGAAAUAUUUUGUAAAAUAUAAGUGAUGAUAAUUAAAGUUUUUGUUCCGUUAAAUUAUAAUAAAAUUAAAUUUUCUCAAAUGAGAUAAGAUUACACCUUUGAUAAAAAAAAAAAAUUUUGCAUGCAUUUAUUUAUUCAACACAUAACGUCGAUGAUGAGUAUAGAACAUAUAAAUGUAUCGAGAUUCGAUUAAUUCAACAUGCUUAAGUGAUGAGUACAUGAGAGAAGUAGAAAAAUUUAUACAAUUUACGCAUUGUGAUACCAAUAAGAGUGGUGAUGAACUAAAAUUUAGGUAUUCUUGCAUUAAUUAUUUAAAUGAAGAAAAUUAGAUGCUAUCAAAAUUAGGAAUCACCUUAUUUAUAUUGGUUUCUAUGAAAUUAUAAAAUUUAAACAUAUGGUGAAUUAUUACAUUUAUUUCUUAAGGGUAUGCAAAUCUCAAGAAUUAUUAGGCAACACAAAUUUUUUAUACAAAACAAUAGUUGUAAUUUGGUGCUCUCAUGGUAACUGAUAUACACUUGUAUAUAUGUACAGAAUCUGGCUCUGGUUAACCAACAAUGAACAUGUGGAAUGUUUCCCUUCAACAUAGAAGAAACAAGUUUAUGAAACAUCUCCAUAAUACAUUGAAUCCAAGAUUCAUUAAAUGUUUUUCCAAAUUAUUUUAUUUUUUGUGGGAUGAUUGGAUCCAUAAAUCAAUUUUAUUAUUUUUCUGAAAAUGUUUCUCCUAUCGCAGUCACACAAUGGGUGGAAGUGGAGGAUUUUCGUUGAGCAUUGUUCACCACUCAUUUUUUGUUCUUCAAAGGGUUAACACUAGCAUCAGAUUCUUAAUUUGACCAACCUUUAACUUAUUUCAUAAGCUCACUCUUCCACAUUUUCUUCUUCAAAUUAAUAUAAUACUCUUCUGAACUCAACUUCACAUGCUUAAAAUUAUCAAAUUUUAAAAUACUAUUUACUUUCAAGAUGUUCUAUAAAUUCAUUACCAUUUUGUCCAGAAAAAACUUCUCAAUAAAUUAAAAAAAAUAGUAACUUUUAAUUGCUAUGAGAAAAUUUCUUGAUAGAUUAAAAAAGAGUGGUGAAUUCAAGUUAUUAUUGAAAAAAAUAGUAAAUUUAAGUUAUUAUUAAUCUUAACUUGUAAAUGAUAUUACACUUUUUAGGUAUAUCAGAAUAAUAUGAACUUUUCAAUGUUUCUUCUAGCAUUGAGAAAAUAUUAUAUUAUCUCAGAUAGUAUAUGUGUUUAUGAUCUUUAUGAAUCUCUAUAGGAAUAUAGUUAUAAGAAGUUUAAUUUAAAAAUAAUUAUAAAGUAUUUCUAAAAAAAACCUACGCCUCAGUUUUUUAAGAAAAUUCUAGACAAAAUUUUAAGUUUUAUUACCUUUAUAAGUUUUAUUAUUUAUUUGUUUUAUUCAAAUGGAUAACAUUGUUGCAUUUUAAAAAAAUGAAAUUUUUAUUAAUUGAGAAAUAAAAUAAAAUAAGUAGGACAAAAAAGAUAAUUAAGUCUCUAAAAAUAUUACAUUGUCACUUUUUUAUGUUUUUAAUGCAUUCUCUCAAAACAUUAUUGCAUUAUAUACCACAAAUAAGUGAUAUUAUUGUAAUGUUAAUUAAUGAAACAAACACUAAGUGUGAAUACAUUUUUACUUCAUAGGCUACCUCAUUUUAAAAAGCAUUAUCUUUGUGCUGAAUAUAAAAAUUGGGUUAUGCACAUGAAAAAAUAAUGGCACCACAAAAUAUAAAAUCAUUUUCUGGAUCUACUCCACCAUAAUUUAUUGUUCAUCAGCUUAGUUUUUUGUGUCAACUUCACAUAUCAUUAGAAAAAUUAUGUGUCAAAUAAUAAACAAUGUUUUCGUGUGAACAUGGAUAGAUCCAUUGGUUGGAUAUUUUGGAUGCAUAAUUGGGUUCUAAUUUGGGCUGUUUCUUCCUACACCUCCACAUUUGCACCCAUAUAAAUCAGGCGAAAAUACCAUUUGUCCUUAAGAAAAUAUGUUUCUAAAUUCUACUAUCUAAUUUUUUUUUCUAUUUACACUUUUUGGAUUGUAGAAAUUUUUAGAUCCGAAAAUAUCUUCUGAAUUUUAUAGUUCAGAAUAUCUUUUUUUCUUUACAAAAAUCCUUUACAAAUUACAGAAUCAAAUCUAUAAGUUAUUAUUGGAGGUGAAAAUACCUGAUUCUAUAAUUCAAAAAUAGCUUCCGAAUUUCUGUAAUGUAUUUUUUUUUAAAGAAAUUCAUUCAAAAUUAUAGAGUUUGGAAGGUAUUUCCAAUCCGGAAAUACCUUAUUGAUUCUAUAAUCUAAUGAAAAAUAUCAAUAAAAUAAAGGAUAUUUAUAGUAUUUUAGGAAAUAUGGGGUGCCACAAGAAGCUCUAGAGGUGAGAAAUAACCCUAAUUUGAAUGCAUGGGUUCAAAUUAAGCCCACUUAAUUUAAAAAGACAGCCUUAUUAAUGGAGUGUUGGACACUACUAUUGACACCUCUAACCUAUGCUAUCCAAACUCCCUACCUUAAAAGACAUAUCUCCCCUCAGAAAAUUCAUUAUAGAUAGAGUCUGAAAAUAAUACACCAUAUACAAGUGAGGAAUAAUUAUACUUUAUAAUUUUAUUUUCUAUAAUUAAGUUAGAUUCAUACACAGAUUAUAAAUUACUUUCACUAUGCUAAAAUUAUUAUAGUUUUGAUCUAUAAAAGAUUUCAAAUGACCCGUGUUUUCAGUAUUUAAUAAAAUAUCAUUUUUUAUUAAUUUUUAAAUAGAUUAUAUCAAUUGUUUUCCUCUCCUUUUUAAGGUCUUUAUAUUAUUAAUCAUAUGGUAUGGGAAAUCUCCUUGUAUUUUUUUUUCUAAUUUCCAAUUGAUAAAAAAAGGUAGUAUAUUAUUGAGAAAAUAACAUUAUUUUUGUAAUUUUUUUAAUAAACUAUAUAUUUUCAUUGCUUUCGAUCACUACACAAAAUAUGUUUAUUAGCAUGGGUCAAAAAAGGAUAUUAGUUAUAAUAAAUGUACGUAAAAGUGUAGUUAUCAUUAAAAUUUGGAAGCUCUCGACAUAAAAAUAGUGGCGGGUGUGUGGGACACAAGUGGUGUUUUUUUUUUGCGUAAGCUUAGCCUACACGCUCCCCACACAAAAUUAUAUUUUAUUUAAAGAAGCGUGGGCUUAGCCUACAUGUUGGCCACAUAAUUUUUAAAUAAGCGUGAACUUAACCUACAUGUUGUCCACACAAAAUUAUAUUUUAUAUUGUUUAUUCAAAGAAGCGUGUUGGCCACACAAUUUUUAAACAAGCAUGAAUUUAACCUUCAUAAUUUUAUUACAUAUUUAAAUUUAAUUUAAAUAUAUAUAUAUAUAUAUAUAUUAUGUUUGCAUGGACUUAACCUACAAAAUUUUAAAUUUUUUUAUUAUUUAUUAUUUAUAGUACCGUUUAACCAUGCAAUUUUUUUUUAUAGUUUAUGUCCAUAUAACCUUCACUUUAUUUUUUUUUUAAGAAUAAAGAUUUAAUGGAUACUACUUACAGUUCAUAGCAUCACCUUUAUUUUCUUUUAGAGCUAAUUCAUAAUCUUUAUUUUCUUUUACAACUAAUUUUACUUUUUGGUGUAGUGAAUUUGUCUAAAAUUUUUAAAACUCGUUAUAGCAGGAAAAAAAAGAGUAUAAAUAUAUAUAUAGACAGACACACACGCACACAAGAACUCUACUUAGAUCGACUAGAAAAAAAAUAUUAAAUUAUUUAUAUAAGACAUUUAAUUUAAAUCUAUAUUUAGUUAAUGAAUACAAAGUAUAUUAAUUAUUUUAAUUUUAAUCAACUAUUAAUUUUUUAGUACUAGAUAAAUUAAAAGUAUAAAUAAACUAACAAUCAUAGUAGACACAUUUUAUUUUCUUAUGAUUAAUAAAAUUUAAAAAAUGCAUAAUAAAAAAUUUAAAUUAAAUUUUCAAUAUUGUUUUCAUUUUUUGGAUGGGUUAACAUUUUUUCCCAGCAUAUUUAUAUUUGUAAACUGUAAACAUGUUACUGAUAUAUAACAUUUUAAUUAAUAUUUACUAUUCCCUCAAUAAAUAAUAAAGUAUUUUAUAUCAUAUUUAAGUGAAGAACAAUAAAAAUAUAUGAAUUAGAAUAAUUAUAACAAAACAAGUUCUCUCUCACUCAAGUCUGUUUUCUAAAUUCAAGAACUUAAGAGAGAGAAGUUUUACUACUAAUUAGAUUAAAGUACUUUAACCUGAUUACUUUAUUAAAUAUUUUAUAUAUGAUAAUAGAUUAUUUUUUUUUCUUUAUAUUUUCUUCUUUCUAAUUGUUGACAAGAGGUUUUUGACAAUGUCCUCAAGUGAUAAAAAAAUCACCUCAAAUUUAUCCAAAUAGUAUAUAGAACAACAUAAAAUUUAUCAAACACAAAUAAACAGUGAGAAAUUAUUUAUAAUAAAAAGAUUAAAUUUUACAAUAACUAAUAUUAAUCCUAUUUUUUAAUUUAUUUAUAAUAUAAACUUAUAUUCUUUAAUAUGUAUAAUUAAAAAAAAACUUUAUACCAUUCUUUCUGAUCCCUCUCUAGAAUUUUCCAGCACAGUCCUAACGUGUUCUCUCUCUAGCAUCUUCCUCCACAAGAAACUACCAACAAGUCUAAGCUCAUAACUCAACUGUACAAUAUCUUAUGAUUCCAUGGCACCCUUUUGCAGCAUGCACUGAUCCAAACGCAGUCACAAAGUUAGAGACACUCUUCACUUCAACACACAUAAAAAACAACCAUUAACCACACUAGAUUAUUGUUUAAUACUUGUGCUGUUGUGUAACUCAAAACUUUCAUUGUUUUCCUUUAUCUUCUUGUGUUUGAAACAUGGAAGGAAUUAGAGUGAAGGAGGAAGAAACAGUGACAUGUGGUGGUGGUGGUGGUUCAUCAUCAUCAUCUUCGUCUUUUAGCUUUUCUCCACAACCUAUGGAAGGGUUGAACGAGGUGGGUACCCCACCAUUUUUGACAAAGAUCUAUGACAUGGUGGAAGAUCCUUCCACAGACUCUGUUGUGUCAUGGAGCACUUCUUGCAAUAGCUUUGUUGUCUGGGAUUCUCACAAGUUUUCUACUAACAUUCUCCCUCGUUACUUCAAGCACAACAAUUUCUCCAGCUUCAUUCGCCAGCUCAACACCUAUGUAAGUAGUAACUACUAUGAUGUUUGUGAAUCCUUUAGGUUUCUGACUGUGUAUGGUUUUCUGUUUGAGUUGUAUUAGGUCAUUAUUUUGUUCAUGAACAGGUUUUCAUUCAUUUUGAUUGGUUUAAUAUGUUCAGCCACCUAUGUAAAUAAUUUUUUGGUGGGGAAUUUUGUUGAUUUUUUUGUUUGUUUUAGAUGCAGACAAGUUUUUAUUUUUAGAUUGAAGGGAAAUGUUUAUAUUAGGUCCUGAAUUCAAUUGUCUGACAAAACUUUUGGGAUAUGAAACUAUUAUACACUCACAUGUUUCUGGUGAUUUACAUAGUAAAAUCAGAUAAUUGAAUAUGAGUGAUAAGAAUCAAAGUACCAUCCCUAAACUAUUAAUCCUUUAUUCUGAAAAUAUUUUUAGGGUUGAGCUGAUUCAAUGAGACUGGUGAGAUAAAUUGAAAAUUAGAUGGCAUAUUAUUUAUAUUAUUAAUGGAAUAAACCAUCAAUUUUAGUAAGUACUUUCUCUCUUCUGAAAUGACUGGAAUCUAACAAAAGUUUAAAAGGAUUGAUGUACUUGAAUGUCCUGUUUUUAAGUUUGUUCUUUUUUUAAUGUUUUCUUUUAUUUUGGAAACAUAAGACUGAGUGUUUAGUAUGUGUUUGUUGACCAAUUAGUUGAAUGUGAUGUUAUUAAUCAUUCACCAACUUCCUUGGACUAAUUUGAUUCAUCUUUGAAUUCUUCCCCUUUUUUUGUGUGGAAAUGAACACAGGGGUUUAGGAAAGUUGAUCCUGAUAGAUGGGAGUUUGCAAAUGAAGGAUUUUUGGCAGGACAAAGACACUUAUUGAAGUCCAUAAAGAGAAAAAGAAAAGUGUCACUGAGCAUGCAAGAAAGAGGAGGUGGAGCAUGUGUUGAAGUGGGGGAGUUUGGACUAGAAGGGGAGUUGGAGAGGUUGAAAAGAGACAGGAACAUUUUGAUGGCAGAAAUUGUGAGGUUGAGGCAUCAACAGCUUAACUCAAGAAACCAAUUGAGUGCCAUGGAGACCAGAUUGCAAGCAACAGAGAAGAAACAACAAAAGAUGAUGAUAUUCCUUGCCAAAGCACUAAAAAAUCCAUCUUUCAUGCAACAAUUAGUCCACAACAAGACCCCCCAAAGUAGAGAAAUGUUGGAUGCUGAAAUCAAUAGGAAAAGGAGACUAAUUGCUAGCCAGAGUUUGGAGAACUUGCAACAAGAUGAUCCUGUAACAUUGGUGGACUAUCCAAGCCUUGAUCAAGAUUUGGCAACUAUGAAGCCUGAGAUGGACACUUUUUUCUCACCAGCUUUUGAUAGUGAACAUGGUAAUGAAAUCAAAGAGCCUGCAUUAGAUUCAGAUAUAGCAGCUAGUCAGAGUUAUUUUGGAGACACAAUAUUGGAGGACUUUUUCAUCAAAGACUUGGUUAAUGAGGAUCCAAAGGAUGAAGUUAUCAUUGGUGAUUGUUCCCAAAUUGAUGUGCCACUGGAGGAUUUGGUAGCAAACUCUGAUGAUUGGAUGGAGCAAUUUCAGGACCAUGUAGAUCAUAUGGACUAUUCAGACUCCAAACCAUAGAGGAAUGAGAAAAGUACUAUUAUCAUCAAUUGGUCAUGUCCUCUUCUUGGUCCCUCUAAUUUCAUUCACAUUGCAUCAUGGUGGUACAGUUUGGUAAUGUUGUGAACUAUUUUUGGUUUUGGUUUCAGUUUUAUGUGAUGUUGAUGAUUAAUAUGGAUUGUCUUUAUGCAGCAGGGAAGGUGGUAGUUGCAAAAGAAGCCAACAGAUACUAGAUGCAGCUCUUAUUCAAAUCAUUUAUUGUGUUUUAUGAAUAUUCAUUGUGAUGCUGCUGCAAAUCAUUUCAUUAUUAUUUGAUGAUCUAUUCUUUGUUUGCAUUUUGUGUUAUGCAGGAGAGAUCAAUUGGAGGUGCUUGAUCGAUGUGAUGCAAAUUAUCAUUCUGCUCCAUAGGAUUGAUGGAAUGAUUUUCAUUGUUCAAGAGGGUGAAAAUUAUCAUGUAAUUCUUCUUGUAAAAUUAUAUGUGCUUUAUUAUCAUCUGCCCCAUAAGAAGCAUGAAAUGUGCUUUAUUAUACAAACAUGUAUCUAAAAAAUUUAGUUUUCUCUUAGCAUUCUUCUAUCUAAAUGAACCACUUAAGAGAAAGUUUAACACUUAUUUAUCCUUUUCUUUAUUUCUCUUACAUUUUGUUUAGUUGAGUUGAAAAAUUGGAGAGAAACAUAAUUUUUUUUGGAGUUUAAAUCAAUGCCUUUUUGAUAUUUUUCUUACUAAUGGUUAAAAUUUAGUAAAAAAAUAUAAAAUCAAAAUAGAGAUUCUUUAAACAAGAAAGAACACCGAUGAAUUUUUUUAGUAGUUUUCAAUCAUGUCUCUGUCUAAUAAAAUAGCAAUGGUUGUGAAGUAAACAUAGGGAGGAGAGAAACUAAGAAUCACUUACCAUUUUGAAUAAAAAUUAAACAUUUAUUAGUCCUAUUUAACAUGAUCUUUGAUGAUUUGAUGAUUUAUCUUUUUUAUUAAAAGUGUUUUAUAAUGACUAGACUUUUGGUAUGAUCAUUCUUCUUAUAAUGAGAAUGAUAAUAUAUAAUAAACAAUGCAACUCCUCUUUUUUAAGUAUUUGACUUUUACUUUCUUUUAAUUUAUUGUGAUUGGUAUGCUCUUUUCCUUGUUACAAUUUAGUUAAAAUUAGACAUUUUAGUGUUAAAAUUUUUGUUUAAAUUUAUUAAGUUUAAAUUAGUUUGAACCUUUUAAGAAAGUCUCUCUUUUAAAAUCAUUAGACAAAGAACACACAAUAACAAUGUUUCACCUCCAUCAUCAAUUUGAAUAUUAAUAAUCAAUUUGUUAAAUUUCUAUAAAUGUUUAUUAAUUAUUUUUUCAAUACUUACUCUUUUUUAGAUAAAAAUAAUUAAUUGUUUUGAACCUUAACCUUGAUGACAAGACAUUAAAACAAGUCACAAAGGAGACAACAAGAGAAUUAGAGAAUUAUUCAUAUAUAAUGAAGUUUUUUCUUGUCUUUCUUUGUCAUGAUUGCAUCAUGAUUUAAUUCUCUUACUUUAAGGAGAUCUUGUUACAUAUUUUCAACUUUGUUACAAUCCCAAAUUAUUAAAUCUAGCUAAUUUUUCAACUUUAUAUUUUAUAAAAGUCAUGAUAAUUAAAUUCAUAUUCAUUACAAAAAUUUUAAGGAUGACAAAGUGGAUGACUUACCAACUGUAUUGGUGCAACCUCCUCCUUCAACCCAUCAAUCGUUUAAGUUAGAUGCAUAAAAUCAAUAAUAUUUUUUUUUCAAAUAGCUUUAUUAUUAUUAUUUGUUCACAUUCACACACAUAUCUUUCUUUCUUUCUUUUUCUCGUUUUUUUUAUAUUUAUUUUUAGUCUUUAUUCUCUUCUCAAACUCAAUUAAUUUUGGGGAAAAAAUUACGGUUAGGUUCCACUCCAUCUUCACUUUUAUUGGUCUACUCUACAACCUUCUCCUUCCUUACAGUCUAAGUCUAAAGUAACUUCAAUGUUGUUCUUUAUUAUUUCUAUACAUUUUUCCACUGGAUUCAUGUUGGAGAAAUUUAAGAAAAAAAAAAGGAAGAGAGAUGAAAGAUAUUGGUUAAUAUGUGCUCUAAAAUUAUGAUUUCUUGACUGAGAUGAUGACUACUUAUAGACAAGAUUCAAUUUUUGUUGAAUUGUUUUUUUAUCUCAUUCAAAUUACUUGAGAUUUAGUGUUUAAUGCAUCUUUUUAUCCCAUUCUCCAACUGCAAAUGUUUGGGUGCCUCUAGUGUCUAGUUUCACAACUCAAUAUUUUCUUUUAGAUAACAGGUUCCUUUUCCUUUUGAUUAGUUAAAAUUCGGGUAAUUAUUUUAGUGGUGGUUAUUUUAAUUUUUAGGUUAAUGUAUAUAUCUCUGUCGUGCUGCUGUUAAAAAAGUAAAUGUAGAAAGAUGAUAUUAAUUCGAUGUUUUUUCACUUUUGAUGAAAAUUUGUAGCCACAAGAACUAACAUGCAUUAAAAGAUAAAAGACAAUGAUAUUGAUAAUUAAAAUAUGAUAUAUUUAUUAUAAGUUAUGUUGUGUUAGUUGUCUCUAUUUUUAGUUUGAGCACACGUGUGUGUCCCUUGUAUUUAUUAUUUUAAAGAUGAUAUUAAUGAUUACUAGCAAAUAAAAAGUUCAAAAGUAAGGAUAAAACUAUGAAAAAUAAUACAUUUUUCUAAAAGAAGAUUGAAAAAUGGUAGAUCGGGUGGAUUACAAAUUUUAGCCCGUAAUUGUGACAAGCUAGUUCGGUCUAAUUAAGUUUUGGCGAGCCAACAAUGAGGUGGGUCAAAAUCGGUAGAUCUAAUCCGUUUUGUCAUCCCUUAACUAGCUUAUUGUGGAAUAAAUCAAAAAAUAAAUCUCACUACAAGAAAAUCAUGAAAUAUAAACCAAUUUUUAGAGACCAAAAUAAUUAGUUGCAAUAGUAACUAAAUUAGCUGUCAUUUUAGAAACUAAAUAAAAAAUUGGUUUCUAAAUUAGUUUCUAUUAUUGUUAAAUAGUUUCUAAAUUGGUAUCUAAUUAGCAACCAAGGUUUUAACUACGAAUUAUUUAGUUUCUAAAUUUGGUCUCUAAAACCUUGGUUGCUAUAAUUAGAUACCAAUUUAGAAACUAUUUAACAAUAAUAGAAACUAAUUUAGAAACCAAUUUGUUAUUUAGUUUCUAAAAUGGUAUCUAAUUUAGUUACUAUUGCAACUAAUUAUUUUGGUUUCUAAAAAUUGAUUUUUAUUUCAUGAUUUUCUUGUAGUGUCUACUGUAAAAGUGUCUACCACACAAAUGAAGAAAGAUAACAGAAAAUUCAUAAAAAAGAAUUAAUAAAAGAAAUAAUUAGAAGGCAACCAAAGGAAGAAUAGGAAAUAAUCACACACAUAAAAAAAUAAUGUGAUUUAAUUGAAAUUUUAAUAAAAUUUAACCUACAUCCCCGAUAGAAUUUAUUAUUAAAACAGACAUUACAACUUGAAAAUUUUCUAAGUGAACUCUUAAUCAAUAAACCAUUUUUUUUAUACAGUUAAACAAUAACUCUUAAUAAAACUAUUGAUAAUAGGAAUAUGACUACCAUAAUUAACUUUCAUAAAUGAUAAGUUAUUUUGUCUUCCACUACUAAACUUGAUAUGACACUUAGACAUACUCUCGUACCAUAACAAACAUUUGUGUACUAUCAAACAAUCUAGUGAAAUCAAACGAACUAAAUAUUAAAAAGAUAUAAUUUUUUCUUGACAUUCUUCUAUCUAAAUGACUAAGUUAAGAGAGAGUUUAACACUUAUUUAUCCUUUUGUUUGUUUGUCUUUCAUUUUGGUUAUAUUAAAAAAUUGAAGAGAAGCAUAAAAUGUUUUUUGAGUUUUGGUUAAAACUAAUCAUAGAAAAAAUAGUUUAAAUAAAACCAUUUUGAUACAUUUUUACACAUAAUUUGUUAUUGGUUAAAAUUUAAUAAAACAAAUAUACAAUCAAAAUAGAGAUUCUUUAAACAAAGAACCACGAUGAAAUUUUUAAAAAUUCUCAAUCAAAAUAAAAAAAUUUAAUUAAAAAAAAUAGAAAAAAGGUAAGAGAAUAGAAAUAAAUAAAAACUAAAAUAAAAAAAAAUGAAUCAUAUUCAAGACUCUAUCUCAUAAAAAGUAACAAUGGUUGUGAAAGUGAACUCAUGGCAUUAGCUCAUGAAGGAGAGAAACAACAAUGCCAAUUAUCAUUUUGAAAAAAAUUGAACAUUUUCUUCAUUUGCUCUAUGCCAACCAUAUUUCGAGUUGGUUUUUGGUUUCCAUAGUUUUCUUACAGGUUUGGUUUGAUAUUUAUGUUUCUUGAAUGUUUGACUUACUUCUGCUUGUUGGUAAAGAUCAUGUUCGAUUGGUGAAAAAAUGUGUAGGGUAAUAUUUAUUUUCUCUUUUUUUGUAAUAACGCAUAAUUGUAUUAUGAUGUUAUCAUAUUUAUAUCACUCUUAUCAUGUCUACAUAACUCUAGUUGAUGUUUUAUAGAGUCUGUUGUUGGAUUCACAUUUAGUUGGGUGUUAAGAAGUUUGGUUUGUAUUCUUAUGUAUAAGGGUUUAGACAUCCUGAAAUGUCUAUUUUAAUUUUAUUUAUCUUUUGAUAUGAUAAAAAAAUAAAAUAAAAAUAACCUCACAUUUAAACUAUUUGAAUUGAGGAAGCAUUGAAAUCUACACAUUUUCAAUUGGAAAAUUCAGUAGUUUGAUGGUAAGAAUGAAAAAGAGAGACAGGAUCUUGGUGUGAUGUGAGUAAUAAGAUCUUGAUUUGAAACAGUGGUUGACAUUGUAUUGCUAUAAUGAAGAAUCAGCUAUGUUAUUUUUAACAUGUGUCGAUUCUUUUGUGGUUCACAUUUUUCUUUUAACAACUAGUUUAUUAAUUGCACGGGUCCUUUUUUUUAAUAUUAAUUUAUUAAAUUUUAAAAAAAAUUGAGUUGUAUUUAUUAUAUUAUCAGUAAAGUAUUUUCACAAUUUAUUUUAUAUAUUUUUAUUAGUAUUAUUCUAAUCUAUUAAUAAUAUAUUUUAAUAGAUGGUAUAUAAUAUAAGAAAUAAUUUUAAUAAAAAACAAAAAAUAUCGUAUUGUAUUUGAAAAUACAAUUAAAAAAACUUAUUUUUUUAUAUUAUACAUAUAAAAUAUAUAAGUGUACUAUUGCUAGUUGGUUUUAUUUUUAAAAAAUAGUUAUGAGGGGUGAAAGAUAUUUUGUGUAGAUAAUGAAUUAGGCUGGAAAGUUCAUCACUGAUAUAUUUUAAAAACAAAAUAAAUCUAUAUAAAAAAAUUCAAAACCAUUUUAUAAUAAAAUAAUGCAUGAAUAAUAAAUUAUACUCAAAUAUAAUUAGUAUAUUUAUCUUUCAAUUUUGCUUGAGUCAACUCUAAAUGGUUACAUAUUUUCAAAUUCACAAAAGAAAUUUAUUAUAAGCACUUUUAUAGGAAACAACAAUGCAAAUAUUGAGAUAUUUUUAAAAUAAAAUAAAUUUAUAUUAAAAACUUUAUAUCUAUUAAAUUUAAAAAAGAUGCAAGAAUCGUGUUUUAUACGGUUGAAUAAAGUCAGACUUUUUCUAUCAAGUCUUCAAACUCUUGAUUUAUGUGAUUUUUCGGGUUUUCGUUCUUUCGGCCUCUCGAUGUCUUGGAGGUGGUAUCUAGAAAGACACUCCAGCGCUCAAGUCAGUUAUGAAUAUCUCCGGUUUACAGAUGUUGUGGUUAUAGAAUUAGUACCUUUUUUUUUCUUUGGUGUUAUUUUCUAUUUAUAGUUUUCUUAUGGGUUUGAGAGUUGUUUUAAGUCCACAAAGGCCCAAUUACCUUCUUAAUCUUGUUUAGUGAGUGAUUAGCCACUUGUGAUCUGUCCUCCUAUACCGAAUGACCGAUAGGCCAAGUACCCUUUCGGUAUUCGACAGUACAAAUCGCAAAUUGAAUUCAUAAAGACACUCAAUAUGUUAAUACUUACUAAGAUUCUAAACUUUUACAUUUACCUAAUUUUAAACUCACAAGACAAGUUAAUAUAAACACCAGUACAAAAGUCUAAGCACAAAAAACAACAAAGAUUAUUUAUAUGUUGUAAUGAGAUUAACAUGUAUGUUUGGAAGCUAAGUGUGUUACUAAUGUGUAAAUGCAUUAGUAGGCUUUUUAGAUGCCGUUGAAUUCUUACACAUUCUUUAAUCUCAAACCUCCAAAGGUUAAUAUAAACAUCACUACAAAAGUACAUCUAAAUGAAACAACAAUGUAAAUACAUUAUUGAGAUAUUUUUAAAACAAAAUAAGUCUAUAUUAAAAAAUUCAGAACCAUUAAAUUCUAAAAGAAUGCUAAAAGAAUGUAAGAAUAAAAAACUAUAUUGUAAGAUAGUUAGUAUGUGUUCUUCCCUUUUAUUUCAGUAUUAAACUUAAAAAAUCAAGUUAAUAUAAACAUCACCACAAAAGUCAUUAUUAGAUAUUAUUAGAUAUAUUAUGAGAUAUUACAGAUAUUGUUAGAUAUUUCUAUUUAUGUAAUGAGCUUAGUCCAUAUGUUUCUUUUUCUAUAUAAACAUAACCCUAUGUAUUCAAUAUAUACAAGGGAAUUACUCUAUUCUUCCUUUUCUUUUAAUAUGGUAUCUAGAGCAUAAAAUUAUGGUUCAAUUUUUGUUGAUGAACUCACUAGUACUUUUCAGCCACUACCCCACUGCUUCCUUGACGUCAGAAACUCAUUGUAGUCACCGCUAGAGUCACCGCUAGAGUCACCGUUGGACUCUCGCCGGAAACUCACUAGAGCCGUCAGAAUCUCUCUGGAGCCGUCGCAAGAGCCGUCAUCAUUGUUGUUGUCGCUAAUUGGUCGGUGACUGGAUCUUUCCUUGUCAUCUAUGGCUUCUUUUGCUGCCAAUAUGACUUCUUCCGCUACCACUCUAUCAGAUCCAUCUAUUUAUAUUAAUUAUGUCAAUGUUCAUCACUCCAUUGAAAAAUUGGAUGAAACCAAUUAUAACACUUGGACCUCAGAUAUUAAAUUAUGACUUAAGAGUCGAGGUUAUGUUGUUCAUCUUACUCAUCCCAAUAUUGCUGAAAAUGAGAUUUUUCGUUGAUUAAAAAUUGAUGCUUAUAUUUUAUCAAAUCUAAAAAUUGUAACUAUGAGACAUGUUUAGAAGUUUGAGAAUAGAAUUAGAAAUAUAGAAUUGAGCUUUUCUUAUUGGAAAAUUCAUUAUUUUCAACCUAAGAUCAGAUUUGAAAGAAUUAUUUACAUUAGUGUUUAGUAUUAGUAAUGUGUUUUGUUUAAAUACGUCCACAAUCAUUGAAUUCAAUUUUUUAACAUUACUUUUGGUGAUUACGUUUAAAGUAAAGCAAUUUGCACACAUAUAGCAUUGAAAUGCUGAAGUAUUUGGCUCUUGAUUCAAUGAAUUGCUGAUUUUUUAUUAUUAUUUACUUGGAAGUGCGUUUAGUUCUCUUCUUUCUACAAUUGGUUCAAUUUUUAGUUGUCUUCCAACUAUGAAUCUAAAUAUAUAAGUUCACCAAUUAUUAACUUAAGACAUAUAAUAAAAGUAAAUAUUCAUGCUAAUUCCUAAAAGAUAAGUACAUUGAUGGAUAUAUUUUUAAUUAAAUUUUUUACAUAAAGGAAUAUUUGAAAAUUUUACCUAUUUUAUGUAAUUCAUUUGGUAUCAAAUAUAUAUAUAUAAAAAACUUAUAUAUAUAAUAUAAAUAUUAACAAUAAAUUUACAUAUAUUAUAAUUUUAGUCAGCAGCCCAUUAGGGUAUUUAUCUUUCACUACCAAUUUAAAUAUUUGUUAUUAGUAUGUUGAGAAAAUAAUGGACGAUAGCAAAACUUUGGUUCUACUAAGAAGAAUUAAUAUUAAUUAGUGUCCAACACCAAGUAAAGCACAAAAGGUUAUGCAAAUCAUUGUCUUUGCAAUUUGAUUGAGGAGGAACAUUAACCCGUUCAUGUCAUUUUCCAAGUCAUUGCCUAUAAUUAUAGAAAAUUGAACCCAUCAUUAGGAUCCAAGUAAUGAUCAAAUUUAAGCACUAUGUGUGAGAUUUUAGGUUCCAUUUUUGUCAAAACACUUUGUAGAAUAAAGAAAGAGUGAAAUGAAACUUUAGUGUUAUACUUUAAAUAAAAGAAUAAUAAAUAACCAAUAAGCCCUUCAACAUGUGAAACACCAAUUGUUUAGUAUUUUGUAAAAAAAUUGAUCUAGUCUAUAUGUAAAAAAUGCAAUAACUCAAAUUAAUUUCUUUAUAAAAUUUCAACCAACCAACUUGUUAUAAAUGUGUUUUAUUUAUUAUUAUUUUCUUGGAAAGUCUCAAAAUUAACUUUUCUUACAAGAUUUCACUUAUAUAAAAAAAAAUUAUCAAAAAAGAAAAAAUUUCAUCAGAAUUUUUUUUAUCUGACUUUCAUUUUAGUUUUAGAAGUGGUUCUAAUCUCUAAAUAUUUAAAUUUGUUCACCGUCUUUACUUAAUAAUUUCUUUUUAUUUAUUUUUUUUUCUUUAUAAAAAAAAUUAUUAAUCAAGUUUUCAAUAAAUAUUAAUCAUCAACAAAUUAACUAAACAUUUCAUAUUAACAACAUGAUUCACUACAAUAAAAUAAUUAAAUAGAAAUCAAUUUUAGAAACAAAAUAUAAUUAGUUGCUAUAAUGACUAAAUUGGAGAUUAUUUUAAAGACUAAAAAAAUUAUUGGUUUUUAAAUCAGUUUCUAUUAUUGAUAAAUAGUUUCUAAAUUGAUAUCUAAUUACUUACCAAAGUUUUUGCUACCAAGUUCAGAAUCUAAAUAAUUGAUAGUUAAAAUCUUGGUAGCUAAUUAGAUACCAAUUUAGAAACUAUUUAUCGAUAAUCGAAACUAAUUUAGAAACCAAUAAUUUUUUGUAAUCUCUAAAAUGGUUUAUAAUUUAGUCAUUAUAACAAUUAAUUAUUUUUUAUCUCUAAAAUUAAUUUUUAUUUAAUGAUUUUAUUGUAGUGAUUAACCUUUUCAAUAUCAAAUUUUUUACAAGGAAAUUGAAUUUUUUUGAAAGAAGAUUCAUAAGUAUAGUUAUAGUGUUAACUAGAGUGAGUUGUGAAAUGAGAAAAGUAGAUAAGUUUUGUACAUGCUUAAUUUUUUAAAAGUGCAUUAUGUUUCUUUUUAAUCAAUUGCCACUGUUUACAGCCACACCUCUCAAGCUUUGCAAUUUAAUUAGCUGCCAAGUGUAGGGUUGGACCACUUCAUACAAUAUUGUGUCUUCUUAAGUGCAUGUUUGACUUUGGAGCUCAAUUUGGCACUCUUUGCUUUCAAAAUAGGGAUUCUUGAUCUCAUUGUAGAUGUGUUAUAUAUUAUGAUACCAUUAUAAAAGAGUAUUUGGACCACUAUUAAAAUUACUUUUUCAAUAAUCAUAUUCCCAAAUAACUCUUAAAACAAUUAAUUUCAUGUAACAAAAGAUAAGCUUUUACAUGAGAAAAAAAGUAUGAAACUGAAAGGAAUAAAAAAUCAUUAAGAAAUACUCAUAAAUUAUAAUCUUUAAUGAUAUUUUUUUUAGAUUUUUUAUAUAAGAAAAUUAUUAAAUAAAAAUUAUUUUUAGAAAUUAAAAUAAUUAAUUAUUAUUUAAUUAAAUUAUAAAUUAUUUUAUAAAUUAAAAAUAUUAAUAGUAUCUAGAGUAAUUUCUGUUAUUAAUAAAAAAAUAUAAAAUAAAUUUUAAAUUUAUAUAUAAUUAUGAAGAUUUUAGUCAUUAACUACUUUAUAUUUUAAAUUAGUCUUUAUUAAUUUUGUAAAAAUUAAUUUAAAAUUUAUAAUAUUAAUAAUUAAAAUUUUGGUGGUUAAUUUAGAUAUUAAUUUAGAAGUUAUUUAUAAAUUUAUAUUAAUAACAAAAAUUACUUUAAAUAUUAGUAAUUUUUUAAUAUUUAAAAUAAUAUUUAAUUUAAUGAUUUUGUUUUAGUGUGUUUUUUUUUACAAAUUUCAACAAUUAUUCUAAAUACGCAACUUAUUAAAACAAAUGAAAUUUUAAGAUUUCAACUUUCCAAAUACAGAUGUCAUGGUUCAGUUUGAGUUAGAUAAACCUUCUACCAAUUAAGGAGUCUUAUAGGAGAAAGCACUACACAAAUAUUCCACCAUGUUAUGCUUUAUGUUCCUAUUGGUUAUAAUGAUGCAAUGGAUUCCACUCUAAGUUCUCCAUGACAAUCUUUUUCUUAGGGGUGGGAAAAGUGAAGUGGGUAGGGGCCGCUCUGCGGCCCUCUAAAAAAAUACGGGGCGGGUUGCAUAUUUCAGUCCACUAGCUCGUUUAGAUUUGUUUUGUAUAAUUUGUCGUCUGUGUGGGACGAGUGGGUUGAUCAACAUAACCAACAUAACUUUAAAAUGUAUAAAUUUCUUUUUCAUCUCCCAUAUUUUUUUCAUAUAGUCUCAUAUUUCACAUUCUGAAAUUUUUAACAUCAUACAAUGCAUGUCUCAUGAAAAUAAUAUUAUGAGACAAUUUACCUAAUGCAUCUAAAUAAAAAAUUUCAAAAUUUUUAUUUAAAAAAAUAAAAAUCAGCCCUUAUGCGGGACGGGCUAGAAAAAUCAGCCCGCAAAUUUUAAGCAGAGCGAGCCAACCCGGCCCACUUUUUGCGGGUCAAGUGCGAAACGGGCUUAUACGGGGUGGGACAGCCCGCAUUGCCACCUCUACUUUUUUUUGCUAGAGACACACAGGCUAUUCAAUAGAUUUUUUUUUCUUGUAGAAUAAUAGGUAAUUAAUUUUUCAGAAUAUUUAUUUCAUAUUUUUUAUUAAAAUUAACUUUUAAUUUUUAGUUUUUUCGAAAACAUCUUGUACAUAAAUAUAAAACAUAUUUAAUUAUUAUUUAGAUUUAGGAAGUUAAGAUUGAAAUAUUUUUAAUAUUUGAGAUUAUUUUACAUUUUUUUUUCUGUAUAUACAAUUCAUAAAUAUAAAAAAUUACAAGCUCUUUCAUAUAAUAUAUAUAUAUAUAUAUAUAUAUUAUUUUUUUCAAAAUUAUUCUUAAAAUUCAAAAUUUUAAUAAAGAGUUAUCCUUUUUAUGAGACCCGUGAAAUGGAGGGAGAAAGAAAUUUCUCACAAGUCAUUAUUUCAUUUUUCAAUAGUAUGAUCUAUUGAUGUAAGAAUGCAAACUUAUCUACAGAGAUUAUUAUAUUUAUGUUUAUGAGAAAUUGUGGAAGAGGAUUAUAUCAUUGUCCGUUGCCCAAAAAUCCCACCAUGACACUCACAUUUCACCACCAAUUUCAAAGAUCUAAGUUUAUUAGGUUAAAAGACAAGUUCUAAAGUAAGAAAGGUUGAAGUUUUUCCUAAUUAGAGUUUAGAUUCUACAAAUGUGUUACGACUUCUUUUAGAAUUAAGAUCUUAGCAUGUGGAAGUUUAAAAUAAGGUGUUAAAAAUGAAAUGUAAACUAUAAUAGAAAAUAUUGUUUGAAAUUUGAACUGAUCUAAUCUCAUUAGUGAAUUGAGUAAUUGAAAUAGAUAACAUUAGAAAUUUUAAGAAGAAUAUGUAUAAGAAAUUGCUAUCAUUAAUGAAAUUAUGGUUGGUGCUAAAUUGAGCUAAUUUCAAGUUUAUGUGUUGAUACAUGCUACAUGAAAAAUUUUAGAGUGUAGGUUAAUCUAGCUUUUGAUAGUAAUUUAUGGGGCCACGAGUAUGCAAAGCAAACUAAUCUUGUUCAAGCGAGAUGCAAAGCCAAGAACAUGUAUUGGAUGUAGAGUCUCAUUGUUUAAGUGACCAAGUAGUCAAUUGAGUUAUGAUCAUGUCACUCAAGUGACACUUAAACGUGUUUCAGUAAGAAGAAUAUCACACCAAUUUUAUCUUAAAUAGGAGUGAGUCGCUUGAGCGAUCAAGAAAUCACUCAAACGACAAUCGAGAGUUUGAGCAAGACCAUCAUCUUUCCUUAAUAAAUACAUCUCAAGUCACCUUAACUUGCUCAAGCUAUCUUUGUUGGCUCAAGUUACCUUAGCUUGCUCAAGUGAUAUAUCCUCUUGAUUUAUAUGUUUUAUUUAUUUUAUUGUCUCUCUAUGUAAUCAUACACUAUAUUACAUAUAAUUCACUUAACUCAGAGAUUAUAACUUCACAGAUUCUCUCACACAACAAACUCUCACUCAAAUACAACUCAAAUGUUGGCUUCUGUUGAUUAAAUAUUCUAUUUAUACAACAACACCAUUAUAACCGACUCUCAUAAAACGUGUCUGGACUAACAAAGAAGACACAUGAACAAUACUUCUCAUUACUAAACUAGAAAGCCAUUUAGACAAUUUCACCAAAUAAUUUAUAUCUCUAUAGACACUAAGAGACUAGACAAUCUAUUGAGACCAUCUACCAAAUAUGAUAUAAAUUACAUAUCAAAUACCAGAUGAUGUAGCACAGUUAAAUGGUCUAUGAACCUUUAGCCAAAAUUUUAUUAAGUUAAUCAUCAUAGAAGAUAAUUUUUUCAAAAGAUAAACCAAUUUAUACUUAAAUUAGAAAUAAGUUAUUUUUUAAAUAAACUGGUAGAAAACUUCAAUAAAAUAUUUAAGUUAAUUUAUUUUUAAAAAAAAAUUUAUUGUGUGUUUUUUUUCUUUCAACUUUGCUAUAUUGUGAUUACAGGCUUAUCUUUUAUUUGAUUAUAUUAUAUUAUAAUUUCUUUUAUUGUUUUUGGUAAAUAUAUAAUUUAUUUUUUUUAGAUUGAAUUAGUGUAAAGUGCAACUUUCUCCCUCUAUAUAUAGACAAAACAAAAACAUCUUUUUUAAGGACUCUUGAGGAGUCAAAUUCUGAUUGGGGGACAGAGUUUGGUAUGAUAGAUUUUAAUCGUAUCCAAGAAGAUACAUCUAGAUUCUCACUAUAAAUUCUUCAUGUUUUCCAAAGUCAAGUCUAGACCAAUAUAUAUUAUAAUACAAAUUAUUUAAUGAACUAGAACUGAAAAUAAUUAGAAAUCAAAAUAAAUUUUAAAAUAAUUAAAAUUUUGGUUUCUAAUUUGAAAACAAAUUUAAAUUACUAAUUGAAAAAUAUGUUGAAUAAUUAAAUAAAAUUGCAUUUAAUGAAUGAGAUAUUAAGAUAUUAUGAUUAUCUUGUUGGUUGUCCUUUCUCCAUGUGACUAAACACUCUCCAACACAACACCCCAUUGUUGUGGUUGUUUAUGAGCUCAUAGGAAUCACAUAAUCCACUAUGUGAUUCUGGUCAAUUUAUUUCAUGUUAAUAUCCAUUUUUCAAUUCUCAGAUUUUCUAAAUCAUUGUCACAACCAUUCACUUUUGUCUCCAACUUAAUCAUAUAUAUCACCAACUGACAUUUCAUGGACCAAGUUCAUUUUUUUUUUACUUAAUCAUUAGAUUGAUGCUUUCAUCAUAUAAUUUCAAAAUAUAUUUUCUGUUUAAAUAUCUUUCACAUGUUAUCAGAUUUUAUUUAUGCUAAUCAUAAUAAUAUGAGUCUUUGAUCUAGUGAGUUAUAGGACAAAAAAAUAUGUUCUUUAUUUUAAAGGAUUUCUCAUAUUAUAAAGGAUAUUAAAGAAUGUUAAAAUGGAUUCAAUCUUACAAUUCAAUCGGGCUUAAGUAAUUUGAGUUUGAAAAAUACUUUUUUUUUUUAAGAUGGGAAAAAAGGAAUUUCACUUUUUAAUACCCGUGUUUCAAAUCAACAAUAUUUUCAAAUUAUAAUGAAUAAGUGGAUUGAGUGAACUUAUAAUAAAUUGUUUUUAAUUGUACCCUAUAUUAAAUAAGUUAUGAACAAAAAAUACUUAACAUCUCUAACCAAUAGAGAGUUAUAAAAUUUCUAAUAGAGCUACUUUAACAUUCCUAAAUACAUUUAAUGAUUAAGAAAUUAUAUAAAAAUAAAUAAAUAUUUUUUUCGUCCAGAAAUUGAUUUUUGUCAUUAGUCCAAAUUUAUCCAAAUUUUAGAUAUCUUGAAUAGUUGUAAUAAGAAAAUUAUUAGAAUGAGUUCUUGCUCAUUUUAGUAUAUUAUAAUAUUAUAACAUUUACAUGAAAUAUUUUAGUAUUUCAGAUUACACUGAAGAUUCGUUUGUCACUUAAAAAAUACUAAUAAGAAUUCAUUCUAAUAGUUUCUUACUACAAGUAUUCACAAAGUCUAAAGUUUGGACGGAAGACCAAAACCAAUUUCACCUUUCAGUAAGGGGAUGAAAAAGAUAUUUUAACUCAAAAAAAUUAAUAACACAAAUAUUUAAUAUUCAUAUUUGUGUUAUAUAAAUAUAAUAAUAAAGAAAAGGUAAUGUAUUGGGUACAGUGUAUCUAAUUGGUUAUCAUGAUUCACUAAGGGACAAAAUAGCAUCCCCACUCUUGAUGUUGGUGUUCAUAAUGUUCAUAAUCCUUUCUCACCACCACCACAAUAUAAAACCCCAAGCAUGAAGGUGAGACUACAACCCCACCACCACCCCUUCAAAUUCAACAACCAAAACCUCACUCUCUAUCCCUCUCAUGCCAAAAUAAAAAUGGUGUUCAUGCAAUUGGAAUGUUCAUAUCCUUUUCCAUGUGUAGCCAUGAUCACCCUGCUUGCUUUACUAGGAGGGUUAUUGGGUUAUCUUUAUGGGCCCUAUUGGGGGCUAAGGAAAGUUCCAGGCCCACCAUCUCUGCCUCUUGUAGGACACCUUCCCUUGCUGGCCAAAUAUGGCCCUGAUGUCUUCUCACUCCUUGCCAAGCAAUAUGGCCCAAUUUACAGGUUUCUACUUUCUACUCAUUUACACCAUAAUAACAAUAAUAAGAAGUUGAGUUUAACUAUCUUAUCACUGAAUCAUCCUCAAUUUCAUUUCUUAACCUCAUUCUCAUUUUCUUCUCCUUCCCUCAAUAAAGCUGUUAUUGUUGGCAUUAUAUCCAACUUUUGAAUAUAUCAAAUUCAAAAGCCUCAAAAUUGUGUUGGGUGUGGAUCAUAUUUGGUCAUGUAAUGAUGGGGUUAUAUAUGGUUGACUUGUGAAGGUAUGUGUUAUGGUGGUGGUGGUGGGACAUGCAUAUUUCCUGGGAAGAAGUAGGUAUAGUGAUAAAAGUGUAAAACAAAAAUAAAAGUGAUUGAAUUAAAUAUUGGAGAUCCUGAUAUUUCACGUGCAAAUCUUAUUUUAUAAGUUGGUUUUAAAAAAUUGAGUUAGACUUAAAUUCUGCUUGUGAAUAUAGUAAUAAAGUUAUUUAUAGUUUAUUUUAAUAAAGAGUUUGUUGGGUUUACGCGGUUUGAGUUGACAUUUAAAAUAUACCAUUUUUCCAGUUAAAUAUUUAUUUAAAAUAUUUUUAAGUUGAUUAAGUGUGUUAAAUUUCUUGCAUCAUUGUAUACAUGAACAUUGUUAUCAUAGAAUCAUAAUGCUUGAUAAAAUAAUUGCUACUUCAUUUCCUGCUUAUCAAUCCAUAUAAAAUAAUUGCUUUUUGUCCCUUCUCACCAACUUUGUCAAUUCUUUAUUCCAAGAUUUUCACUUUACUGUAAAUGAUCUUGUUCCUACUUGUUUAAUGGAGCAGAUUUCACAUGGGAAGACAACCACUAAUCUUGGUAGCAGAUCCAGAGCUAUGUAAAGAGGUGGGAAUUAAGAAAUUCAAAGACAUUCCAAACAGAAGCAUUCCCUCUCCUAUUUCUGCCUCACCUCUUCAUCAAAAAGGCCUCUUCUUCACCAGGUAUGCAUAAAGGAUAAUAAUUAAGCAUAUUUUUCACAUAUUAGAAGAUAUUUCAAAUAAUUAUAUUUCUUUACAUAUUAUAUAAGUAUUGUAUAUCACACGUCGACUAAAGAUUGAGACAUUUCAUCUUUAUGCAAAACUCACCUUAUAAGUCGAUUUAUGAAGUUAAAUUAAACUUAAAAUCUCCUUCUUAGUAAUAAGUUAUAAAAAUGUUGUUUAUUAACCAAUAGAAGAUUCCUUGCAAUCCAAUGGUUUUCCAAGAUCUUUGUCCUGUGGUGAGAACAAUGUUUGAUGUACAAGAUUAAAGUAUAGAAAAGAAAUUGAUCAUGCAAUGAUGAUGUGUAGGGACUCACGAUGGUCUACCAUGAGAAACACCAUAUUAUCGGUGUAUCAACCAUCACACUUGGCUAGUUUAGUGCCAAUGAUGCAAUCAUUCAUAGAAUCUGCAACACAAAAUCUUGACACCCCAAAUGAGGACAUGAUCUUUUCCAAUCUUUCCCUAAGGCUAGCAACUGAUGUGAUUGGAGAGGCAGCAUUUGGUGUCAACUUUGGCCUCUCUAAGCCCAAUUCAGUUUGUGAAUCAAUCAAGAGUGUUAGCAGUGUGAAAAAUGGUGAUGAUGGGGAUAAUGAUGAUGAAGAAGUAUCAGAUUUCAUCAAUCAACACAUCUACUCCACAACACAACUUAAGAUGGACUUGUCUGGUUCCUUCUCCAUUAUACUUGGUCUACUUGCUCCAAUACUUCAGGAGCCAUUUAGGCAGAUUCUAAAGAGAAUAGCUGGUACAAUGGACAGGAAAAUAGAGAGUAUUAAUGAGAAACUGAGUGGUCGUCUUGAUGAGAUUGUGAAGAGGAGAAUGGAGGACAAGAACCGAACUUCAAAAAACUUCUUAUCACUAAUUUUGAAUGCAAGAGAAUCAAAGAUUGUAUCAGAAAAUGUGUUUUCACCUGAAUACAUUAGUGCUGUUACUUAUGAGCACUUACUUGCUGGGUCAGCUACCACAGCCUUUACCUUGUCAUCCAUUGUCUACUUGGUUGCUGCUCACCUAGAAGUUGAGAAAAAGUUACUUCAAGAGAUUGAUGAAUUUGGUCCAACUCAUAAGAUUCCCACUGCUCAAGAUCUGCAUGAUAGUUUUCCUUAUCUUGAUCAGGUCAGCUCAUACUGAUAUUUGCUGAAAUGUAAGAUUCAUACUUUGAGUUUACAAUGAAUAACCAAUCAUGAUGUCAAAUUCUCAAUUUAAUCAAUGCAGGUUAUUAAAGAGGCCAUGAGGUUUUACACUGUCUCCCCAUUGGUUGCAAGAGAAACAUCAAAUGAGGUAGAGAUAGGAGGUUACCUUCUUCCAAAGGUAUAACUUUUUUAUAUCAUUGGAGGAUUAUAUGUAAAGAGAAAAUAAUAUAUGCACAAAACAAUGUAAAGAGUGUUUACACUGUUAGUUAUUUUCUCUACAUUUUGGAAAUAACAAGGGAGAUAAGAGCUUAUAAGAGUAUAAAGAUAAGAAGUGUUAUCACAUGUUAUACAUCUUUGUUUUAUGUAGAAUAUUUGUCAUUUUCUACAUACACAUUCUUUCUUCAACUAAUUCAAUCAAAUAACGAGUAAAAUCAUCACAUUUUUUACUCUUUUUCUUACCUUUUACUCCAUAAACCAAACAUACCAUAAAAAGCAUAUACCUUAAAUGAUUUCUAAUUUGUAAAUAGUUUCAUUCUUACAUUGCUAUAAAUUAGUCUGAAUUUCUUCUAGUACAUGUGCAAGACUUUCCACUUUCACUUGACAGACAUUGUAUAAACUUGAUGGAGGGUUUUGAAAGUCAUGUCAUCACUGAUGCAGUUUUGUAAAUGAGCAGGGAACGUGGGUAUGGUUAGCUCUUGGAGUUCUAGCAAAAGAUCCAAGAAAUUUUCCAGAUCCAGAGAAGUUUAAACCAGAGAGGUUUGACCCCAAAUGUGAAGAAAUGAAACUAAGGCAUCCUUAUGCAUUCAUACCAUUUGGAAUUGGUCCUCGGGCAUGUAUUGGUCAGAAAUUUUCCCUACAAGAGCUCAAGCUUACUCUCAUUCAUUUGUACAGGAAAUAUGUGUUUCGACAUUCCCUAAACAUGGAAAAGCCUGUAGAAAUGGAAUAUGGAAUGGUUCUCAACUUCAAGCAUGGUGUCAAGCUUAGAGUCAUAAGAAGAACACAAUAAAGUGGAUAUGAUACCAACUAGAUUGUACUUGUGAUUGUAACAUAGCAAAAUAUACGCUAAUUCAAACAAGUAUAAGCUCAGAUCUAAGUAAACAAUAUUUAUAGGAUAUUGAGCUUCUAUGCAGAUUUUAUAAAAGAAAAAGCAUGCUCUUUUACAGAAAACAGAUUCUCCCAGUGGAUUGUUGGAUGUUAGGACUUAACAUAAGAAGAGUCCUAUUAAAGAAAAACUAAUUCAUUAGAUAGAAAAACUUUGAAGAUUUAAAUACACCAAAUUGGAACUUAUACCAUUGUCACCAUUUUUAUCCUUUGUAUUAAAAAAGUGCACUUUAAGCUUAACUCAACCUUAUAAAUGAUAAUGUUUAACAUAUUUGAAUGUUAAGAAUAAAUUUGAAAUGUUAAUUGCUUUAUAACAUUUGUUCGUAAUGAUAAAAAGUUUUUAUAAAUAUGCGAGAAAUCGAUAUUUAAGAGACAAUCUUAAUAAUUUUGUAUGCGAGGAAUGCAUCAAUGUCAUUCAAGAUGGAAUGUUAUAUGUGUCCAUUCAUUAAAACUACACGAGUAAGAAGGAUUAAUGUCAUUCUCAAUUUUCUUAAUUGAAUUAUUUUACUCAUUUAUUUUGUUUUCAUUUAAUUUUCAUGCAAACUUAUGUCAAUAUCAUAAAUUAAAUUAUUGUAUAUAUUCUUAUACUUAAUGAAUGCUACUAUUAGAAUUUUAAAUAAUUGUUCCUUGUGGGUUAGACAUUCGCCCUUAGAAACGAAUUAUUAUUGCACACUUGCGGUAAAAUUGUCAACACCACAAUCAUUUGACACAUGCGCAAAUGUAAGUCAAAUAACAUGCCUCUUAUGUACCUUCUUCUUAUAUCUCAAAUACUAUUGUAUGUAGAUUUGAACUUGAAAUUGGAGUCCUGCACCAAAUUAUGGAGGGUUCAUUUUUUAACUGAAAAAUCCUUGAAGAAAUUAAAUGUGGUCAACGUCAAUGGUCAAUGGAAACAUGAGAAUCCUCACCAUUCUCUAGAGCAACAACAAGAAGAAAAACCCUAAUAAUGACGAUGAAGAAUUGGACGUGCCAAAAGAUGACGAUGAACUCCCUCAAGAUGAGAACAUGUGAAACAAAAUAUGGGGAGGUAUACAACAUUUGUAACAAGGUAUAUGAGAGCUGCAACUAGGUAUGAAUAACUUUUCUCGCAACCUUCAUAAUGGUAUGGAGCAUGUUCACUAGAGAAUUGAUAAUGUUGAAGACAAGAUUCAAGAGCUUAUAUAUAGUAUACCAUAGUCUUCAACUUGGUUGUUAUUUCUUAUUGUGUCUUGUAUUUGUGUUGCUUUGUUAUUUGAAUGCUUAUUCUCAAACUUUUUAUUUUAUUUUAAUUGUUGUAAGUGACCUUUAUUUCAUUUGCAUUCGUAUUAAGAUGUUUUAUGCAUGUCUAAGACUAGUCUUAUUUUACCAUCUACAUGAUAUCAAUUAUAUUUACGAAAAUUUUGUUCACCUAAUAAUAUUGGUAGAAAUAUUUGAUAGUCAAAUUUGUCUUCAAUUACAAUUUUCAAGCAAUAACAAUCAAUAUCAACUUUUAUUUAUAAAUAUUUUUUAAUUAAAAUUAAAAAAUUAUUUUACCUAUUAAAUUUUCGUAAAUCAAUUAACAAUACAAUAAUAUCAUUAACUUCAUAAUAUUGGUUGUAAAACAAAUCUCAUUUCAAUUUUCUAUCCAAAUAUAGAAAUACAUGUGUCAACUUUCAUAUAUCAACAUUUAUCUUUAUUUAAAUUCAACUCUUCAACAAUUUCAUAUCAAGGAUAUUUAAGUAAAUGAAUAAAUAACACAAUUAAUUUUUUUAUAAAAAAAAUCACAUCAAUCGUAUCAUUUACGACUACAAUUUUUUUUCACUCAAAUUCACUAGCUGUCAAAUUACUUUUCAUAUACAAAACUUUCCACUCUUUCCCCUCUCUUCCUUCAAUUUCCAGUCCCACCCUCUUUCAAACAAAGGCUUAAAGAUCAUGAUAUCCACAAUAAUUUUCACUCUUUGAAACAUCUCCACUCAUCUAUGAACAUCCAAUUUACACCUUAAUCCAACCUAUAAAUAGUUAUUAGUUUCAAUAAAAACACCUAUUAUCAAGACUUAUAACAGAAGAGAAGAGUCUAAUUUAAAAAACUAGUUAUUAAAUGGAAGAACCUUCAGGCUUUUAAGUACAACAAAUCUCACCCUUCAAUUAUUUUUCUUUUGUUUAGGCCUUCUGCAGUCUCUUGAUAUAUAUAUCAUGAUACUACCCACAAAAAUUAACAAUUGAUUACACAAAUGCAGAUCUCUAAAGUAGAGUAUUGCGGAGGGAAAGCACAAAAGCUACUGCUACAGUUGUAAUUAAAUUCAGAGACCAUUGAACAACAAGAUGUUGAAGUGUUGAACUUCAUGGAAAUAAAUACAUAUGAACAAUCAAUCAAUUGAAUCGUCCAUUUCACCGUGGCUUCUUAUCCAUGUAGGUGGGUAGGUAAAGUGGCCUACAAAAGUUGGUUGAAGGGUCAGAAGCACCACUGCUUUUGGAAUCUCCAUUUGAGAAAACCGCUGUUCUUUUCAGAAACUGGAACUCAUCCAUGGACUGUUGCCUCUGAGAUCUAUUGCUUUGAUGACUGCUGCUUUUCUGCUUUGCCUUGGUUGACUCUGUCAGGUUCAUGUAACUUGGCCUAGUACUACUACUGUUGUUACUAUCCUCUGUCCUCUCACAAUGCAAUGAAACACUCCCAGAUAUUGGUGUCAUGGAUGUGCAUAUUGAAGAUGAAUUAGAGCUCUCAUCAUAGUGAAACUCUGAACUAGGACUUGAGGAUGAACGAGUGGCUUGCCCAAUAUGGGGAGGUAUAGCUGAAACCCUUAUGCUCACAUUGUUCUUUCUGACUUUGACAUUGCAUGGUUCUGAAAUAUUUUUUGAAUUUGAGGAGUCCACGCAUUUCUUUGGUGGAGGAGUUUGCUCUGUGGCAUCAGCAUGAUGAUGAGUUUGUUCCAUCAAUCUACUCUCCCAUGGCUUUGCUGCCAUCCAACGUUCCAACCAACUCCAUCCCCAGUUAGCCUUGUCUAUCUCUUGCUUCUUGAGAGAGGUGUUUGCUCUUGAAUUUGAAAAGGCUGUUGAUCUCCAUUGCUGCAAAAACCAACUGUUAAACGUGUUUCCUAGUAAGCAGGAAUAGUAAAAGUUGCAUAUUUUCUCAAUCUGUUGGUAGGUACUACCUUGUGGGCAAGAGAGUAUGCAAUUGCUCUCUCCCUCUUGAAAGCUCCCUCUUGCCUCUGAGAUCUUUGUCUUGACAUCUUCCAAUGAUCCUUUGAUAUCACACCAACCAUCCUGCACACGAGUUCACAAACACAUGUUUCUCACAAAAUCUUCUGUAGAGGUGCGGUGUGCAAAACAAUUUUGUAUGGCAAGGGUGAUGGUUUAGGAAUUUGACAAAACUUGUAUGCAAUUUCUUAAGCUCGUGUUUAGAUAAAGUUUGCAGACAAGUACAAACGGUGAUCCUCCAUUCACUCCAUUUGAAAGUUUCAAGGCAAAACUGCAGUUAAACUCAGUUUAUAAUCAGACCAACUAAAAACCAGACAAGAGGCCAUUUCAAUUUUACUUUUUGAUUGACCCCGUUAUAAAACAAACACAGGUUAAAUGUUUUUAGUGUAGUACUCUAAUUAAAAUUACAUUUUUAAGUCAGCAAAGGUUAUAGAAAACAAAAAUUUCGAUUAAAACAGUACCAGAAACAUCUAAAGAUCUGCAUUAAGUUAAGUCUAGGUAAUUCCUUGCAUGCUUUUUUGGUAAUCUUCCGUAAUUAUUUAUGAUUGGUGUUUUACCUUGGUGAAGAUUCAUGUAACAAAAGUUUCUUUUAGAGAUGAAUCUCCAAUUCUGAUCAGUGAAAAACACUAACAACAUCUUAAAAAUUGUAUGUAACUUUUGUGUGAAGAAUUCAUGAGAUGGUACCUCAGCUUCCUUGUAGAGUUCAGCCUUGGUGCGGCGUUCAUUGAGCAUGUUUUGCACUGCUUGGCCCUCCAAGGACAUUCGCACGCGCCGCGCCCUCACACGUGCCUGGACACGAACCAAGGCCUGCAUGCACCUCAAUGUGACUGCAGCCUGCUUCCUCACAAGUCUACCCCUCACAAGAGCUUGAAGCCUCACCACUCCCUUCAACGCCCUCAAUGCCCUUCUUGCCUACAAUCAUAACAACCCAAUCAUAAAAAUCCAACACAACAAGCAAAUUUCAAGAACAGUGUUCUGAAUUGCAGAACACAACAACACUGUUCCAGCAAUCAUGUAAAAUUUCACGCUACAACUACAAGUCACAAUCACCAUUGCAGCAGUCGCAACAAUUUAUAAUCAUUCAUUGUACACUGAGUUGAAUGAAUGAAAAACAGCAUGAAAUCAAGUUGUGGCACAAGAUUUGAGAUCCAACAUUGACUAGUAACAUAGUCAAAGCAAUGCAUAUAAAGUAAGUGAAAAUUGUGUCCUGCAUGAUGAAUUAGCUUUUGGAGUCGACUUAGAUCCGAAUUCAAACCGUAACACAUACCAAGAAGGCGCGGAAAGCAGUUUGGAUUCUUGUGGCAGCCCAUUCUUUCUUGAGGAGUUUGAAAUCCUUAGGUGGAGCUCUGACAACUGUGGCCACUGCAGCGGUGAAAGAAUCGGAAGCAACACUGCCAUAGUCGAAGUCUUGAGAUCUGUUCUCCCCUGCAGAAGAACUCUUCCACAGCCUCCACUUCUUCUUCUUCCCCCCCUGAAACCACCCAACAGUUUCUUCCUCGCUCAAUUGCCACCAAAACAACAACAGUAAAAUAAAAACGGUUGCUUGGUAGCAAGAAACAACAAUCAACUUACAAGUUCGUUCUUGGAGUUAAGUCCGAUCAACGCCUUCACCCAUUUUCCAGAAGCACCCAUUUGGCUGGCGAAACUGUUCUAUGCUAAAAACGCAAACUUUGGCUUGUUUUAAGGCAGGGGGAAAUGGGAUUUAAUGAAGAGAGAUUCUUUUUGGGUUUGUGAUUAAUGAGUUGUGAGUUAAACUGAGAUGGGUAGUGAUUAAGUUGGAGAGAGAAGAAUGUGGAAGUUUUAAUGUUUUUGAUUGGUCGUGGGUUAGUGUCGUGCGUGCCGUUUUCCAAGAUUUGAAAUUCAAACAUGAAACGGACAACAGACAUGUCUUGUUAUCUCCCGCUCCAUUGGGACUACGUCGUUUCGGAGUUGCGAAGAUCUGAUGAUUUUGUUGUGAGGGGACCCUCUUCAUAUGGGGAAAGAAAGAAAAAGUGAAAAGGUUUUGGAAUGAAGAAGAAGAAGAAAAAGGAAGUGAGAGAAGAGUUACUGAAUGCAAAAGUGGUUAUAUUAGUUCAUUUGCUUUCACUCUAAUUCAAAAUUUAAAAGAGUCAUAAUGAAUGCAAUUAAUAAUAAGAUCUGAUUAGUGAGUUUUGAAUUCAAACACUGUGAUUCUCUCUCAUAGUUGAAGAAUAUAAAUUCUAUAACUUCAGUUCCUUAUUCUUACAAAUGGUUCUGUUUCCAUCUAACUUUUAUUAUCAAAAUUUAAACUAAUAUUAUCCCUUUAUUCCUUUUUAAUUGUACAUUUUAUAUUCAAAUUUUGUUUCUUUAUAAGUGAUUUUGUAAAAUUCUAAAAUGUAUUCAUGGUUGUUUUAUUAAUUAUAUCCUUAUUAUUUUAAGAAUUCAAAGAGGAAUAUAACUGAUAUUUUACUGAGAUUAGAUGAUAAACUAUUUUAUUAAAAAGAGUAUUGGGAUCAGAAAAUACAUAAUACUAUGUGAAAAAAAGUUAAAAUAAUAACAAUAUUUUUGAAAAAAAGAAUUUAAACAGACGAAAAUUAAUGUUUGAUUUAUAAUAAAAUAUAAAAACAUUUCCAUUACAGAAUUCACACGUUCAAUUAUAUAUAUAUAUAUAUAUAUAAAAUAUUAUUUUUAUAAUAUAUGUUUGACUUCUUAUUAAAAUAUAAUAAAAUAUUAUAUUUUAUAUGUUUGACUUCUCAUUAAAAUAUAAUAAAAUAUUAUUUUUAUAUCUUAAAAAUAUAUAUUUCUAUUAACAAUCAAAUAAAAAAUUAUAAAAAAAACUAUAAAAAAACUAUUACCACCAAAUUUAAAGAUAAAAUAUAAUUAAUCACUAUAUUAACUAAAUUAAAUAUUAUUUUAAAAUUUUACAAAUUAUUUAAAAUAAUUUAGUUUAUAACUAAAAUUUUAGUAUCUAAUGAUUAAAUAUCAAUUUAAAAAUUAUUUUAUAAAUUUUUAUUAAUAAUAAAAAUUAUUUUAUAUACCAAUAAUUUAUUUAAUUUAUAAAAUGAUCUUUAAUUUAGUUAAGUAUUAAUUAAUUAUUUUAGUCUCUAAAAUUAUUUUUUAUGUUAUAAUUUUUUAGUGAAAUAUUAAGAGAAUAAAUCUUAUAAAUUUUUUAUAUUAAGAUACAAAUUAAAAAAAAUAUAUAUUAUAAAUAAUAUGACAUAAUAGAACCCAUAAUAAUUAAAUUAAAUAUUAUAAAUGAGUCCUGAAAAAAAAUUAAAGAGAAGAGUUAUAUUAUAUGAAAUAGUAAGACUUUAUUCUUUAAAUAUUUCCUUACAGAUAAAAUAAAAUGAUUAUUUAACAAAAUUAACAUAAAAUUAAUGAUCAUCAUAACAAAUUACAAGAAAAGAAUAUGUAAAAAUUGUAUUCACACAAAAUAAUAAAUACACUACUUUAUUGUAUUUUGUCUCUAACAUGGUUAUAUUAAUUUGAAUUUUAUUCUUUUAUUAGUUUACUUAAUAUUUUUUUAUUUUGAAUAUUAAACUAAAUAUAAUUAAUGAUGUUGACUUUAAAGAAAUGCUAAAAACUGCCUAAAAUUUAAAUAAAAUAUUACCAAAUUAAAAUCAGGCAUAAUUAUAUCCGGGGUGAUCGUAGCUCAAUUUAAUUUAUUUUUUAUUUAAAAAUAAUCUAAAUCAAAUCUAAAAAUGAAAUGAGAUUUAAUUUGGUUCCAUUUUAAUUUAAUUAUAAAAUUUAAUGAAUGCCUUGUAGUUUGGUUUAAAUCAAUUUUUAUGAUUUUUAUUACUAUAAAAAUAUUAAAUAUUUUAUAAAAUAAAUUUUUUAAGUAAAGAAACCUACUAAUGAAAAAUUUGUAUUUUACUUGUCUUAUUUAUUCUGUCAACUUGUUCCUAUAUUUAUGAAAAAAAAUUUACAUAAUGUUACCACUAAUAAAUAUAAUUUCAUUACAAUCACAAUAUAAUUAAACUGUAUAACAAUCUCUCAAUACUGCAUUCAUGUAUAUGCUUAAUUAAUCAAAAUAUAUAACAUUAUAUUUCAACAAAAUUAGUGGUUUGGAUCAAUUCUUAUUUUUUAUACGAAAAUGGAAUUAAAUCGAUUAGUUAAAAAUCAGAACCAUUAAAUCUAGAAAUAAAUUGGUAUAACUUUGGAUUGAUUUUCAAUUUUUUUCCAACACUACAAUUUCACAAAUCUCUAUUUAUAAACAAUAAUAUUAGUAAUUAUCCUAACUACCAAAUUUUAAAGGAACAAAUAUUAAUAGAAAAUUAUUAAAUAAAAAUCAGUUUUAAAGAAAAAUAAUAAUUAAUUAUUAUAUAGAUUAAAUUAAAUAUUAUUUUAAAAACUAAAAAAAUAAUUAAUAUCUAAAUUAGUUUAUAUUAUUGAUAAAGAAUUUUUAAAUUGGAAUCUAACUUGUUAUCAAAAUUUAACUACCAAUUAUAUAGAUAUUUUAUAGCUAAAACCUUGAUAGUUAAUUAAAUACUAAUUUUUUUUUUUUAAUUUAUAAAAUAAUAUUUAAUUUAAUCAAUAUAACAAUGAAUUAUUUUUUAUCUCUAAAAUUAAUUUUUAUGAAAUAAUUUUUUUUAGUAAUAUCAUAUUAAAAACUAUUUAUAAUAUUAAAAAUAUUAUUAAUCAAUUUUUUUAUGUAACUUAUCAACUUAAUAUAACUUGAAAAUUAUCGUUUCAAAAGUUAAAAAAAAUUAUCUUACAUGGCAAUUCGUAACUUAAUUCUUUAAAUUUAGAAAAACGUUUAAAAUUAAUCUGACACUUCUCUUUCUCUUUUUUGUUUUUGUCUAAAAACUAUGUAAAAUUCUGGCUUUGUAAUUUCCAUGUUCUGAAAGGGAGAAAAAGAAAAGACAUAGAGUGGACCAUUUUAUUCCGAAGGAGAAAUGCCUUUAUGUUUAAACUGCUGUUGGACCAUCUUAUUUGAUUUGAAGGGUUCAGAGAAAGAGAAAGAUGAGAAAAACAAAAAAACAAAAAAAUUGAAUAAUUGAAUAAUUAAUUAUUACAAUAAUAUAAAAGUAAAAAGUAAAUUUAACUUAACUUGGUAUAGGGCCCUAUAAUCCAAGGACUUCCACUUUCAUCCUCGGAUCCUCCCAUGCCACCACACAACUUUAUAUUUAAUGUUUUUAUUUAAAGUGAGAAGGGUAAAAAAAAA
rnacentral:lncRNA from 1 species